rnacentral:lncRNA from 1 species
GGGUUCAUGGUCAUUUUGACAACAUUUUUUUGGCAAAAAAUGAUGAGAUCUCCCAUCCUUUGCUCCCUUUUUUUUUGUAGAUGGAGUAUCUAUCAGCGUUGAACCAUGAAGAUACCAGAUUAGCUGUUGCAUGUGAAAGAGAAUUUUUGGCAGUUCUUGAUGGUAACUGCCGAACUCCAAUUGCAGCCUAUGCUUACCGUGACAAUGAUGGGAAUUGCUCAUUCCGCGGUCUAUUGUCUUCCCCAGAUGGAUCUAAAGGUAUCCUUGAUUUUCGACUGAAAAGAGCUUACAGUGAUUUUGUUGUUUCCAUCAUUGAACGGCAACACCUUGUCACUUUUAUGGUUCUGCUUACAGUAUUUGAGACAACAAGAAGUGGACCGUACUCUUUUGACGACAUGGUUGAGAUGGGCAAAGAUGCUGGUCAUGAGCUGAAGGCAAAGGCUGGGCCUGGCUUCUUUGAUAGCUUGCAAUGAAAAGAAUGAGCGGCCAUGAGCAAUUUCAAUUGUCACUCUUUUGGGUAGAAACAGAGGGCCCAAGUAGAGUGUUGAGAGGUUUGUUUUUGUUUAUUCUUUCUCCUACUAGUUCUGCUAGAGAAGGGUGUACCUGGUGUAGUGGUGAGCUGAGUCAUCAGGUCGCGGGUUCGAAGCAUCCAGUCUCCGUAUUUGUGGGAGAAGGUUUGUCUCGGUUUAUCUCUUUUCCGCUACUCAUAUGGGAGAAAUGUGGGAGCCUCAGUCUGCUCUUUUUUUUUUCCAUACUAGUUCUGCUAGUGCCUUGUACUAUCACUCGUAUUGAGCAGCCCCAUUCAGCUUUGUAGUAUCUCACUCUGGGUUAGAGCCUUUAUAGGUAUCUGCACAGCACAGCUAUAUGUUUUGUCGAAGAGGUAUCUGCACAGCUACGUUCUCGGAAGACUCCAGCAGCCAGCUGCGUCAGCACGAUCAGAUCAGUCAUGCUCGUGCCCAUCCAGCAGCCAGCAGUCGAGAUUUCAGAUUUGUUGCAGCGAAUAUGAUUUUAAAAGUCUGAACCGAUUUGCUGCAGCGAAUAUGGUUUAAAAAACCGGACCGAAGGCAGUUUUGAUAUUCGGGUUGUUCACUUCGGAUUGAAAUUAUAGAGAUAAAAAUACAGUAAAAACAAAGAAGCUGGUAUGGAUUAAAGAACGAACAAGUUGAUUAAUGUGAUGUUUACUCCGGAUCUAGAUAUAAAAAUGUGCAUAUGCAUAUUUCCCCCACGUUGUUCCAAUAUAACAUUGUCAUCCAUUUUUAUGUUUUGUCGAGAUUUGGAUGUUAGAAAAUGUGCAUGUACGUAACGUCAGUUUCACCGCUGCACAAGCGGUUUGGCAGCGCAGCAGGUGCGCCUCUCGUCUCCUCCACUCCAAGACAGUACUAGACAGCAACAGUCCUGACUGACCGGACCGAUCCUGUGCGAUCAGAACAGCCAGGCAUGGAUUCCAAAUUCCCAAGGUAAAUUUUUUUUGGAGACAUGGCAACUUUAGAAGAAUGGGUGGCACACAAGGAACUGAUGUUAUGUUUAGCGGUUCAGAGAGAACGGUCUCAAUACAUAAAAAGACCGACGAGGCCACGAAAACCACCGCACAGGUUUUUUUUAAUAUAUGAGGAUGUUCAUGUUUCUCAUGAAACCAGACUAUGAGACUGGCAUGUUUGUCCUUUUAUUGACACGUCAUCACAUAUGCUUGUAACAUUCCACGCAGCACUGCAGAGUGCAGAGCAUAACUCAGCGAAAGAAACUCUAUCUACAGGUGACAUGCGGCUGAAAAACGGAGUUCAUAUGGUGGGCUGGCGGCCACCACCACCUGGACCAUUCUUUAGACGGUUCUUGAUGCAGAGGACGGCGCAAAAGGCCCCUCUACUCGGCGUUUUCGUCGAGGUGGAUAAGCUUCCCGCUGAUCCUCCUGGCAAGAUGGACCACCAUACAAUUACAUACAGGCAUCAGCACACCUACGUGAUUCCAUUUCGUACGAACACAUCUAGCUGCUCCAGUAACCAGCAGAACUCCAAACCGGAACACCGAACACCCUAGACAGCUCUCUGCACCUGCACGGACACGCAGGGUCGUAACAGAAAGAAAAAAAAACAAACCUUUCAUGCCGAGGCUUCUCGUCAGACAGAACCUUCAGCAGCCUCUCCUCGAACGGCGUCGCGUGCCAGCUUACCUUCUGGUCCUGGCAACAGGGCAAAAGACUAGCGUAAAAAAACCGUGUCGCCUCACGAAUCAUACUUUGCAAGCCAAUCACAAAUUCACAAUAUGGUGCGUGUGCGUGCGUGCGUGCGUUCGUACCUCCUUGUAUUUGGUUGUGGUGUUCGGGAUGCCGUUGCCGUCCCACGCCUUGGGCAGCACAGGAGUAGGCUUGUCGGUCUCCCCCUCCCAGUCCAACCCGAACGCAGGAAAGAAGGGCACAUCAGAGACGUUCGCCCCACACCGUGUCUUCUCCUCCUCCGUUCCAACAAAAUUGCUGCUGCCGUCGUCGGGGCUGCCGUCAUCCGCGGACGAUGACGAUGGCUUCAGCCAAUGAGACAGGCUUGCGACACCACGCUUCCCGCGUCCAGAACUUCGCGUCGAUAGCUCUUCGCGUCCGUCCUGCUGUUCCAAGCCGUUCUGGCACUUGGGUUCAUCGGGCGACAUCACUCCGUCCUGCGCUGCACGGCUGUAAGUAUUUGGGAAGGAUCCGUGCUCUGAAGAUCCGGCGAACGCUGAACGUGUAGGCGGCUGGUGAGCCUUGUCGCCGGAACCUGCUGCGCUCAGGUUCCUUCUUUUUGGAGGGUUGGGUGAUAGCACAGUAGGAGACUCGGCGGCUUUCAGUUCCAUCCACUGCAUCUUGUUCUCGAUGGGGCGCAGGACAGGGUAGAUGAACGCCCUCGCGCGCUUCCCAGGCUUCCAAGCCUCCUUGUGAGCGGCGGCGUAUACGGUGCCAGGAGUCUGGAUGUCACCCCUGAGCACCAGAGGGGUUGGAUAGGGCGAGUCACUGGAGUCGGUGCUUUGGUCUCUCACCACGUUCUGGUGGCACGAAGGCUUAACUUCUUCUAAGGAUGGUUGAGUCUCUGAUCCCGUCCUGAGAGUCCUCCCUUCAUCAGUGUCCUGCUUAUGUAGUACAUCGUGAUCAUCGGAGUUGAGCCUGCAUUGAAAUUUUGAAAUGAAUCAUGCUCGUCAGAGUUGAGUCCGUACUGAAAAUUUGAAAUAGAAAAUUCACCAAAUUAUGAUAAUGGGGUAAAUGUACUUGUCCACAGGUAACCCACUCGUGAAAAAGAAUGGAAGUGAUUACUCACAGUUCAGAUGAGUUCUCUUCAACUACCACUACAUGUUUCGUCUGCUGCACGUUGGUCGGUGUAUCGCCGCACUGUAAACACCCCAAAAAAUCAGAUGGCGAAUUUUAAGACAAGCUUGCGGAUGAAAGAUUCUUACCUCGUUAGCAUCUUCUGAGUUGAUUGGGAUUGAAUCUAGAAUUUCCGGUGGGGUCUGUGAUAUUGUGCCACAUGAUUUGAGAUAAUUUGCCUGAUUGUCAUGGAAUUCCAUAGAACACGUUUUAAUGAGAUAUGUUUUUUUUUUGCAUGAGACUUCAAAAUACAGCAGAAUUACAAAAGCUGAAAGAUAAUAGUGAUUAUGCAUAUUAACCAAUAUACCUUCGUUAAACAUUUAAAGAUAUGUUUUCCUAUAAAUCUCACAUGUAUAUAGACCAAGUAUUCUCAAAAAGAGAUAGGUACUCACAUGCAACAAACACGCCAAAUCUUAUUGUGUUUUCAUUCACAAUGCCUUGGGUUUUUUUUUUCUUUAGAAGUUGAAAUUGAAUUGACUGUGCACACAUGAACAUAUGUAGAGUAUCCCGUUAUUUGUACGGUGAGGAAAUCACCUCCAGUGGGAGGAUGCGCUACAUUCAGUCUUAACACGAACUAAAAAUAGAGCUUUGAUCAGUUUCUACAUGCAUGUCGACAAAAAAAAAUACUUAUAGGGAUGUGCUUCUACUAAUUUACACAGGUCAGUGGCAAUUUGAUUGUAGCAGAAAUUCCAGUUUCAUAAAAGAAAACAUAAACUCUGUCUUUCUUAUCGGCAAAUGUUGUCUUCUUGGUGCAGCUUAUACUAUGGUUAAAAUGAUGGUCAGCUAUGAGUCAAACAGGGGUCAUAGCUUCGUCCAGAUAGUCACCUGCCAGCUAAACCUAGAUGACACACUACACAUCGGUUUGAACCUUCUGCAUGAUAAUCGGAAGCAUGCUGUAAAAUCAUAAACCUGAAUUGAGUAUCUAAAAACGUAACGGACAACAACCGGUGGCAGUAAAGAGACUGUCUGAUUCAAUUUUCAGCACUUCUCGCCUCCAGUAACGAUUAAGCCCGAUUACUCAAAUACAAUUUUACACAGCUAGUAAGUAGUAACAAAUACAGGAGAAUACUGGUCGGAACCUCUCUCCGAAGCUCGUCGUCGACUCCGUGGUCAGUAGCCGCCUCGACAUCCAGCUUUCCAGUCGCUUCAUCAAGCUCUGAGGACAAUAUAGCACAAUACAACUAAGGAUUUCCUAAGGCCUUAAAAGAACAGCAAAAUGUGGCAUGGCGACGUACUCUUCUCGUCGUUGACAAAGGCGUCCCCGAUGCGGCUCUCCCUCACGAGCGGGUCCUGAAGAAAGCAAACAGGCAGACAGAUUCAAUAUCGCCACUACCGCCCGCACCAGAUCCAAAGCAGAAAUAGAAAUGGAGAACCGCGAGAUUUGAGAGGUCGCAGGUGGAUUUGCUCACGCGGAGAUCGCCCGACGGGUUGGAGCCGCCCCGGAAGCAGGAGAGGAAGCAGCCCAUGACCAAGGAAACCCAACAGUCGCGCCGCCGCCGCCGCGGGUUUGGGGUAGGUAGGGUUUAGGGAUCGGGAGCGGAGGAACGGAAAUGGAAAGAGGAAAGGAGGUGGCCACGGGCGAGGCCGCGAGGGUAGCCGGUGGCGGAAGCAGCGGGAUUUGAAUGGAGGGGGAGGGCGAAAUGGGGAAGCGAACGGGAAGAUCCUGCCUGGUCUGGGCUUUGUGGGCCUCCUCGACAGAUUAAAACGGACGUAACUAAUGGGCCGAAUCCGAGAAGCCGGUCCCCCGGUUUGGAUCAGCAUUCCGGGUUGCUUCUCACCAUCACGCUUGUAUCCGAAGCCGUACCGCAAGGACCAAAAAAAAAAAGUGGUCGUUGCCCCGCGUCCAAAGAAGAGCCCUCCCCAGUCCCCACCCACCCCCAGCCCCACACGGUGCCCCACCGCUCAUGUGACCCUCGCGCCUCUACGUUAGACUGGCUUCAACGGUGGACGCUCUCCUCCCCUUCCCUUGAUUUAGCGUCCGCAGUAUCACGCUACCGCGCACAUCGGUGACCGCUAAAGGUGCUACAAUGAUAGGGGAUGCUCCAGGCAUUCACCAGAUCUGGGGGACCGAGUCGACCCCCUAUCCUCGAGCAACGUGCGCAAUAUUGUGUUUGCAGUAGAAAAUAUAUUGAUAAGGGUGAUGUAUAAUUAGGUAAAACAAUAUUUUAUGGUAGUAGUGGGGUAUAGGGGGAGUAUUUAGGGGGAACCGCUGCGGGAGAUGAAAAAAUAGGGGGAAAGAGAACGCUGACGUGGCACGUGAGUGGGAUAUAGGGGGAGAAAUUUAAAGGAAACCGCUGAACACAGUCUUAGGGUUCUAUCAGCCCACUCUCGCCGCCGCACUCCACUCAGCUCUCGUCGACGCCUACCCAGACAUGGUUCGCCAAAGUUAGCUUGUUUGGACAACUUCGGCUUCAAAAAAUUUAGUGGAGUUGAUAGAAAUGUCAUUAGGUGUUCCAUAAAAUCCUUAAACUGAAUCUAUAAGCCUUUAAAAGACAUUUAGAUUAGUCAUUUUAUUUAUUAUUUAAAUUAAAAAUAUUUUUAAAACUAUUUAAAUUGAUAUUAUAAAUUACAGCUUCACACUGAACUUGAAACCUGGAGCCAUCCCAAGCACACCCUUCGUAUGGUAUGCAGUGUGCAGUCCGUGAACUUGCCUAAAUUGUUGUCUUGUUGUCAUCGUUACAUGCUUAGAUGGAAAAAUCUGGAAAACUCAUAGCGAAGUGGGACACUAGAGCAGCUAAGAUUCACAAUAAAAGUGGUUGUUGCAUGGAACCUAUUGGUUAACAUGGGUUAUGGGGUUAGGGAUAGUUUACGCAACACGUUACAUGGUAAUUAUGUGAAACUUUAGUUGAGUGUUUCUAAGGCAUGCAUAAGUUCAGGUAACUGUAGGGUUAAUCCAUGCCUUUCGGAUUUGUGUUAUAGUAAUUUGUCUGCUGUCCUGAAUGAUAUGCUUACAUUUUCUUUUGUUAUUAUUCUCAUCUUUUGCGUUUAUGUUUAGUACAUGACACUUUUCAUGAAUAUAAACAUUUUUUAGAGGAAGUUAAGAAAUGUGAUCUUAGGAUAUUAGGGAAAGCACAUGAACUAUUCUUUUUCAAUGAACUUAGGUACGUAGAACUCCUUUAUGUUAAGUAUUUGCCAAUGAACUUAGGGAACAAUAUUUGCCAGUGUAAUUCUUGUAUUGUGUUAAUCUAAGUCUCUUGGUAUCUUUGUCUUGAUAUCUUGGUUUAGAUUGAGAUGUUGAGUAGCAUGAAUCUCAUAUACAUCAUAUGACAACACUUAGUGUUAUUCUACAGAUGAAGUUAUGGGCUAAGGUACAUGAUGUGAAUUGCCCCAAAGAUCGAACACUGAGCUCCAUGGAAAUUAUUUCUUUAGUUUCUUUUCAUCUACAGGUAAUGUGUAUAAGUGAGUGCUUUUAGAUUCAUGUAUUGUGUCAUUACAAACUGUCCAGAAAAAUGAAUGUUAUAACUACUCUAGCCAUUGGUUAUACUUUCAAUACAAAAUGUCGUUUGCGAUCUGUACCAUCGUAUUUGCUGCUGAGAACUAGUGCCUAAAUUAAUGUCGAGGGGUUGUCUUACCACUCGUAAGUCGAGCUUUUUUAGAGCCUAAUUUGUAGUACCACCAUGUAUAAAUUACUUUUUGUCGUUAUAAUAGUAAUCCAGCGACAUGAUCCUAGUCACAACAUGCUCAUGCUCUACCAUUAAAGAAGUUCUGCAUAUUUAGUUAGUUUAAUAUUCUUGAUCUGUACCUUUGAUUUUUGGGGCCCUAGGUACAUAUUUGAAGCUGUAAUAACGAGUAUCAUGUGUUCAGAUCAUAUAGGACAAGAAGUUUUAUCUUGAAGUGCCAUAUUAGGUGUCAUAUUACCAACCAACAUGAAGUGCCAUAGAAAUUACGAGGAGAUAUAGGAAAUGAGUUUUAUCUUGAUAAAAUCUAGCGAGUAAGAAUACAAGGAGGACGUUCACAAGAGAAUCAACACCUACAUUUUUGCCACCAGAACAAGGCUACACAUUUGCCACCAACUACAUAUGACUCGGCCUUGUCCGAAACUAGCACCUACAUCUUGGCUUUCUCCUUGUCUGGAAUCACCACCUCCGAUCAUUUCAGCAAUGCCAUCAGCUUGUACAUCAUUUUCUUUGGAUCUAUCAGCACCUUGAUGAAAACUAGGUCAUCCCUUGCCUUCUGUAGCACGCACAUCGCCCAUGAACAGAUGAACAACAUAAGUCUUUUUCUUACCUUUCCCUGUUACUAUUGUUGUUGCAAAGCUAUGCUAAAAUUACAAAGUCUGUUCAGUCUAUUUGUAUGACAAAAACUAUACAUCUGAUUAAAUGGGUCCUUUCACUAUCGUCCACUUGCUAAAUUUGUAUUUUUUGCUUCUUUGCACAACUAUCAGCUAGUACUGCUAUGGAAGCAACAAACCAUGGUCGCGUCCCAAAUGUCGUCUCUUGCACCACCGGCACCGAAUCCCCGUGGACAACACCCACCUCGCUAUUGUUGUGCCAGCCGCGUCCCAAGCGUCGCCUCUCCAGUGUUCCAAGUGCCACGUCCUAAUCCAACGGUUGCAGCCCCGAUUCACAGGCAUUGUAUAAAUAUCGGUUAGGGGGCCGACAUAUCCAACACUCGUGUUUUCCCAAAACCAUAAAGACACAAUUUUCAAUUACGAUCAAUCUAAUGUCCAACUGAUCGGAAGAUUGUGAUAUAUGGCGAUGGACUCUAGUGCACCAAGCUGCCAACGCCACCGGUGAACGACACCGAGAAGACUUCGAGAGGCGGGGAUCCAACUUCCCACCAGCAAGGAGGAGGGAUGUAGGGAGGAGGCGACCAUUUCUCUCAGGACACUGCCGCCAUCACCACUGCUACGCUCAACGUUAAUCAAGAAGGUAUGCCUCUUAAACCUCUCACUAGGUGAGUGCCCAUGUGUUACGACGGAAGUAAAAAAAAUGUAUGAAACAUAGAAAUGGAACGACAAACAUCACUAUGAUUUGCAAAAUCUGUGUGGUAAACAUUAUCAAUAUCAAACAAAUUAUUUCUAAAGAGUCAAUUUAGAAUUUUGUAAUGACAGACAAAUAUGACGACAACCAUACACUAAUCUAAUAAUUUUUAGCGAUAUUGAUAAGUCGUUGUUGUAUGUUUGCAGGAUAACAUAUCGGCACGAAUUGUUCUCAUAACUUAACAGAUCAAUCACAAAGUUCCUUCGAAUAAUCUUUGCAUCCUACACACAAAGCCAUAAGAGAACAUGAAACGAAGCAUCAUUAUCAAUAUGGAUGAAUUGAUUCUGCUAUGGUACUAUAAAAAUAGCUUGCCAUAUAAUACGAACCAAGUUUUUUUUAUUUUAAAGUGCAAAAAUUAGCAACCUAAUGAAAAUGUUACUCAAGUAACAAUGGAACUGAAAACAGAUGGAGAGUGCAAAAGCUCAACUUUGUUGUAUCAUCAAACGUGUAGAAAUUCACGGUUUCAUUCAUUUAGGCAAUGACACCUUAAAGACAAUGAAUCCUAUAAAGAAAAUGAUGCUUUAUUUGAGUAUCUGACAUUAAAUAAAUGGUUGCAAUAUUAAAUUCGCAUCGACUUGUGAACUUAACGACGAAUAUUUCAAAUUAUUUAAAUUCUAAAUUAGUAAUUUAUAAAAUAAAAUUUGUCGUAGGGGCUAGAUCUUAAUUAAACCUAGAUAUUAUGGGAUAGAAUAAAAUUUGUACCUUGGAACAUCAGCAGGGCAGAGGAGCACGUCGAGGCUUCGACAACGACGUAGCAAGGACAAGCACGCCAGGGAGAAGAUCACUGCGCAAGCGAACUCAACGCGGAGCAGCGUACGAAGGAGAAGCGACACUCGGCGCAGCUUCGGACAUCAGGCGCACACGACUCAAGCAUGCAACAAUUAGUGAUGACGACGAACUUGGACGAUAGCAACUUUCAGCGUCGCGAACAGAGGGCGCACGUCUAGCUGACAGCAAGGAACAAGCGAUGCAAAAAGAGAAACAAGCAGGGGAUGUGGCUCGGAUGUUGUGGGGAAGAAGGUCAUGAUCCUGCAAUUUAUAGAGCAGUGAGAGACGAGAGCGUCGGGGAAAGAGAUCGUUGCUGCCAUUAAUGGCGUGCAAGAGAAGAAAUAAAUCUAUAAAUUGGGGAAAUAAAUAUGAGGAAGAUGAAAGGAAUUCAUGUCAAUCGGGGAAACAGAUAUGGGGAAGAUGAAAGGAAUUCACGUACAAGGGAAGGAGAUCGAAAAAAGGGAUUCACUUACAAGGGAAGGACCGAAGGAGAUCGGAAAAAAGGAAAACAAACCUGGCGGAUGCUACAUUCCCUACGGACGUUGGCUACAGGCAUUGACACACAUAUAAACAAACCAAGUGCUCGGGUAUCAUGACAUGGCCAUGGGCUUCCCUGUUCCCUGCCCUUCCCCGUCACUACUUGGCACACCAAAGAGAGGCAACCUCACGAUCGACCUACAUCUCUUUGUUUAGAUAACAACAGGCGAGUUGAGGCCCAACACAUAUAUAUUUGAUAUGCUCUCGUUAUUAUUACUUUUAGUUAAAAGUUACACGGGAAUGCUGCACGGAGAGCGUUUCACGCGAGUUCAUCCGCUUAAGCAGCGACGCGUGUGUGUGCGGUACAGUGGUCCCGUUUAGCUGUUGGUCGGCGUGGGUGUGGGCCCGCAGCCGUCUCCUCUCAGGUCGUCCCAUCUGUCUCCUCUCAGGUCGUCCCGUCCAAGGAGCGACGGCAACCAGGGACGACGCGUGGGUUGUGCUCGCCCGGCGCUUCGCCGUUAACCGUGUGGAUCUCUGGAGGGACGACGCGUGGGUUGUGCCCGCCCGGCGCUUCGCCUUUAGCCGCGUCGAUCUCGGGUACGGCAACGCGGAUCUCGGCUGCGACACGGCUCCCAACGGCAGCGCGCCGACGUCCGCUCGCGAGGACGGCGGUCGUGGCUGUCGAGAGAGCGGAUGGCUUCGUCCACAGCUGUCGGGCGUGCAUGGUGCCGCGACCUGGACGGCUCGGAUCGGAUCUGCGACGAACGGCGCGGGCGACCGGAACUGCGACAAAGUGACGCCGGCCAAGGAUGGCGCGUGGGUUGUGGCCGGCGCUUCGCCGUUAGUCAGGUCGGUGCUCUCCUCUUCUGCGCCUCUUCUGUGGAUCUCGACCUACGCCGUUGUGCUCCGCGGUGCCUGUGCCCAUAGCGUUAGGUGAGAGUUAGUCACCGGAUUCUAAAGUCCCACAAAUCCGAGCCCUGCCUUGCCUCGAUGCGUGCUCCGCAUCCGUCCCGUCGCCUCUGCUUUUCCAACAGCGUCGGCUCGCUGUGCUUCUGUCCUUUGCCAUAGCGCCCAUGCUGCUGCUUUUUAUUUUACUACAUAUAUGGAGCACCUUCGCUCGUGUCUUCCUCUUUCCCUCGGCCUGGUACCUGGCGGAAGCGCCUUUCUCCUCCUCGACUCUGUCGCCGUCGUCCGUUCCUUUCUUCGGAUCCUAAUUUCUCUUGUGUCGAUUCCUACUCAUCUCUUUGUUGGAUCCGUGUGCGUUGGCUCAUAGUGUCUGUUGUUCUUGUAGAUCUGCUACGUAGCAGAAGGGCAGACACACGCAGAUCCUCUGGCUAUCCUGUCGGUCUCUUCUGCAUCUGUUCCAGGUGAGCCAGUCCUUCCACCAUUCCUCUCUUUGUUAUCUUGAUUUGGUGUCGUGAUUCAUUUGGUCCUACACGUUUUAGCGCUACUUUCUAUUCUGUUUGCAUGCAUAGAUGGUUGUUUCCCAUUUCACUGAGAAGUCUAUCUGCAUUAGAAAAGGCAAAUGCCAGGUGUCAACGACAACAUAAAAAGAAUACUAACAUUGCAAAGUGGUUUCCAAGGUUGAGCUGUUCUUUUAAAUUUUAGACAAAUGAAAUGCUGCAAAAUAGGUAGUGUUCAAAACGUGAGCUCAUUACAGAAACGAAUAAAUCCCAUCCACUGGUCCAUUGUUAUCACCUUGUAGUCAUUUUGGUACUGAAACACAUUUCAAAUUUAGCAUGUCAAUUAAGCACCGAGCCUCAAUGAAGAAAGCAUGAACAAAACCACAGAAGAUCCUACUACCACUAAAGGCUGAACCUGGACACUAAUCUGCACCUGAACUAUAAUCCGGACACACAAGCUUAUUUGCCAACAACAUUCAGCACCCCAUGGCCAGCCACAAUUUCCCAGACAUCACUUUUCAUUACAUUCAACACCCUGAGGUUUGUUGUUGUUGGAUCACUUUCAACAUGGUUUGGCAAAGCUAAGUGCUUGUACAUGCCAUCUGAACACUUUACCUAAGCAUUAGCAAGAUACGUUAGAAAUUAGACUUACCUGAACAAAUACUGAAUGAGUAUAAAAGUUGUGUACUAUUAUAUUUGCGCCAAGAAGUGCCAUCAGUGAAUAAGCGCUUUCACCACUCAACUUGGGAAACAUCGCAUUCAUAUUGACUGGGGUAUGUGGGUGACUGAUUAAUAAACCAAGCACAAAACAAAGAAGUGUAAAUCCAGCUAUACAUGCAUUACAUAUCCCAGCCACCUUAUCUUAGAAUGAGCAUGAGUAGGAAACAAGAAUUACAUAAGGUCGAAUACUUUAGAAGGUAAUCAUUUUAUGAUGGGGUUAUUUUGGGAUUUAUAGAUUUACCAGUCGGGAGAGUGUGUAUGGUAGUAGAUUAACAACAACACUUGCAAAACAUAUGGCUGUGAUAAGAUUGUCGUGUUCAAACACAAGGUUGAACCCCACUGCCAUGCCUGCAAUCUGAAGUAGCCAAAUGUUAAGUGUUACACUUAUAAGGUGAGAACUACGACAUGCUCUGAUAAGGAGUAAUGAGUACUCCAAAAAUAAAUGCAUGCAUAGCAUGAUUACAUAAACAUCCCAGAAUGAAUCACAACAGAGCGAAAAAACCAUAAGUUUGUAGGCAUACCAUUGUCAAUUCAGAGGUCACUAAGGAUAGCCAUGCCUAGAGACCAAGAAUAACACAUAUCACCUUACUGUAUUCCAGGCAGCAGAUCUAUCAGUCAUGUAGAAGUACAGAAAGUAAGGUUGAUAUCUCCAAAAGACUAUGCAGGAAACAAUUUAAAAGGCUUUAGAAUGAAAAGAACACUAAAUUGAUAGAACUUAAACUCCAAACUAUAAAGUUUAUGGUUGGCAGUUCUCCUUGUUUCUUAUCUGCAUCUAAUACUAAAAGAAGGAAUUUUCAUUCAUGCCCCGGUCCGUCUGUCCCUCCACUCCCGAAGCAUAAUUCCUAACUGGUUUUACUGAGAGUAGCAGUACGUAAUGAAUUAGAGAUACGAAUCCUAAUUGGUUUACUGUCGUGAUGAAUUAGAAUAAGAAUCCAAAUUAGUUUACUGUCUCGUCCAUGACCCGAACUCACAACAUGUGAGUAACUAAGUUAAAAUAGGGACGUCCAACAAAGUAUAGAGUCUGAUUCCAAGAUGUAUUUACCUCAAAAUUGAGCCUCAAUGAAGAAAGCAUGAACAAAACCACAGAAGAAAAGUAUAAUCCAUUACCAUGAGGUAAUUAUUAAGCUUGUCAACCUGAGGGCGGAACUGUAAGCCUAAUACUAGAUUCAGCAACUCACAAGCAGCUGGUAUUUCUAUACAUUUCUUCUUAUCCUCUGAGGAAAGAUAAUCAUUGUGAAAAAUCACAGAAAUAGCAGUCAUCCUAAUCACUUUGCUUUGGAGCAUUAUAAUUUACAAUAGAAACCAACCAUACCUGUGAGGCAAUAACGAAAUGCAUAUAUGUAGAAAUCCUGGAAACUGGAUGGCCUUGUAACCUGGAAAUUCAAGCCAGUUCUCCGUUCAUCCUGAUAACAUAAAAACAUGUAUUAGUCAACACUUGAAAACAUAGAACAAUUUUUUAGUAUUAGAACUAAAUCAGGUCCUUCAUUGAACACUUGAAUAGCAGUAUGUAAUGCAUACCAGGGUAAAACAACCUUGCUUAUCACAGCAUGUGCCUCUUCUGUGGAUCUCGUCAUACGCCGCUGUGCUCCGCGGUGCCUUUGCCCAUAGCAUGUGCCUUUCCUGUGAGGGCCCUGAUUUACACCUGCAUUAACCAAAGAAAUAGGGUCUGUUUCUGAUGCACCUGCAUGUAUAUUAUCUCAUUCAUGGUAUUCUUGGAAAAAGAACAAGGGAAUGAAAAGAAAAACAGAGAUAAGAUAUGACACACUCAAAUAAUUCAAGUGGACUUUUCAGAUUAGGUGUGGUCGUGUGGCGCUUCCUUAGCUGUCAUUAUGUCGCACAUCAAUUUCUUGGAACUGUACUUUUUUAGGGAGAGACAGAGUUAUCUAGGCUAUCGCCAUGCCUAAGAUUAAGUUAGAAAAUAUGGCUCGACCAACAUAUUAGAAUACAAAUUAGCUUAUGUGGCUUUACAAAUAUGGCUUUCUCAACUGGGUCACCAAUUGUCCUGAACAAAUGAUGGCCCAUAGACCGAAUCCUACACUCCAAAAUCUUUGGUGGAGCAGAUUGACUAGCAUGCAAUACCUAGGAACUCAUAUUACAAGACAUUGGUACGUACUUCUGUUCUCAAGGUCUGUAGACACUUCAGAAUCAGCGUGCUUGCAGCUUGCUCAUCGGUUCUAUUGCCGCUCUUGCUGCCUUCUUUCUCGUAGAGACACAACUGCAUUACCUUCCCUUCCAUACGACCACGACCCUGUUAGUUCUGUAUCCAUGUUUUGUGUGCACUGCCAAUGAUGGAUGGGGGCACACGUGAGAGCAUGGCGUGCUGCCGUCAAAGCCCGAGUGCUCAGCGUUCUGCGAUUUUGUGAGGUAUGUACUGGUAUAGCUACCUUCUUUAGGUUUAAUAUGGCCCCUGGUUAUGCCAGUCUAGCUCUUUCCCUUUCGCCUACACAAACAUAGAACCGUUUCGUCUUUGAACAACUGCUGUCGAGCACAUUAGCUGGCUUCCCAGCGUUUCACGGGACCUCCUCCUCUUCCCGCCAACUGCCUACUUUGUCGCAGAGAUAUGCCUGUGGUAUCUCCCCUUCCAUACGAACAUGUCAGUUUGACAUUCCUGUUGUUGUGUGUGCUGCUGCUAAUGGAUGGGGGCACAUGUGAGAACAUGGCGUGUUGCCGUCGAAACCCCAUUGCCCAAUGUUCUGCAAUUUCCCAAAGUCUGCACUAAUAUUAUGCGUUCUUUGAGUUGAAUAUAGCCUUUGUUUAAGGCAAUCCGUCUCUUUCCAUUUCGCAUAGACAACCGAACGUUCAUUAUGUCUUUGAACAGCUACUAUCGAACACAUGAACACACUUGAUCAGCCAUCCGCUUCGGCGCCAACACAUGCGUCGCGUUAUGCAAUUUUGUUGCGUUCUCAGCAGGUUCGUCAAAAGCGGCCAGGUUAGUGACUGUCAAGCUUUUGAUGCUGCUUGUAUCUACUACAACUCUAUGCUCAUACUAAGAUGCGUGUGCACGCCGUUUGUAGGCAACAAGUCCUUACUCGACUUUCCUACGACGAUUGCCACUGCUAACAGACACCAUCGCAAACAGAGAAUGUGUCGUACGCCUGCGUCUGCUGAACGAGCAUGUGCCAACAAUGGUUUUCCCUACCACAUGUCUUUUCCAAAAUAAUCUUUUGGUUUCAUAUCUAGUGCACGUUAAAGAAAGUCUAUGAAAUUCUGCUCGCCUUCCUGCUUAUAGUUAGCACGGAUGGAGCCUCACCGCCUCUUGAGCGAUCAUACAUCGAGCUGCUUAAAGGUACUUGUGUACCACCUAGACUAUUUUCUCUACAUGUUCCUAAAGUAAUCCUUGCAGCGUUUACACAUAUUUGCCUGUAGAGACUUACAAAGAUCGCUCAUACUAUGGUGGCCCAUCGGACGAGUGCCCACAUUGUGGCGCCGUUUUCUGGUUUCAAGAACAGGUCAAACGUGUGUCUGCUGUUGCGCAGCGCAGGCUUGUGUACAACCUUUGUUGCAGAGGAGGCAAGAUUGUUUUGGAGCCUUACAAAUGUCCACCGGCGCCCUUAUGUGACCUGCUGCGAUUCGAUGGUGAUAGUCGUGCCAGAAGGUUCCUUAGGCAAAUUCGCUCAUACAAUUCCCUUUACGCGUUUACCUCACUAGGCGCCAUCGUUGAUAGAUCGAUAAAUAACAGUACUGCACCUUAUGCUUUCAAAAUCAAUGGUGUCAUACACCAUCGCAUUGGCUCGCUACAACCCAGUCAUGGAUUGCGACCACAGUUUGCACAACUUUACAUAUAUGACACUAAACACGAAGUGCAAAAUAGGCUGGGCAUGUUUGAGAAUGAGCCUGAUGUCCAUGAUCGCCCGGAUCCAGAGGUGACCCGUUUAUUACUUAACAUGCUAGAUGAGCAUAACAAGCUGGUCGCGGCAUUUCGCUUUGCUAAAAACGUUUAGAUGAAGAAGGCGACCAAAAUGUGACGUUGCGAUUGUUAGGCUGUAACACACGUCAUGACGCACAAUACAACUUACCGGCCAAUGGUGAGCUCGCUGCUGUAAUAGUGGGUGAUUGCUUACCUUCACAAUACAAGUACGAUGUCCUCGUGCACGCUAGAGAGGGUGGACUCAAACACGUUUCGUGCUUGUACCCGUCCUACAUGGCCCUGCAGUACCUGCUGCUUUUCCCUUACGGUGAUCAUGGAUAUCACCUUGGAAUAAAAUACACUGACGUGGGAGAAGGCGAUGCCACAUGCCGCAAGUAUGUUACGAUGCUUGAAUUUGUUAGACAUCGUUCACACUAUAGGCUCAACGAACCGAACCCAUUCACUUGCUAUGGUAGGCUGAGCAACCAGCUAGUUGUCGAUGCGUAUUCUACGAUCGAGGCAUCUCGAUUGCAAUUCAUAGCGGACCACCAAAAAAAUUGCGUUGUGAAUCCGUACAGGGGAUAACCGAUGCCAUUGGCAGGGGUCUCACCAGUGCAGAUUCAGUUGGUGGAAGAGUGAUCGUGCCUGCAUCUUUUACGGGUGGCCGAAGGUACCAUGUAAUGAACUACCAAGACGCGAUGGCCAUCUGCAGAGUGUACGGCCCACCAGAUCUCUUCGUCACCUUCACAUGCAACCCUAAAUGGAAGGAGAUAGUCGAUGUGCUUCACUUCGAGCCUGGUCAGCAGGCAUGCGAUCGUUCCGAUAUCGUUGUAAGGGCCUUCCAUAUGAAGGUCGAUGAAUUCAUAGCAGACAUUAGAGAAAAUAAAAUUUUUGGUCCUAUCCGUGCUGGUGAGCUUCAUCUUAACUUGACACAUUGAGUGGUCCCUUAAUAUUGCUUUGCAUGCUCUCAUCUGUAGCCUUUCCUAUGCAGUGAUUUAUACCGUAGAAUUCCAAAAAAGGGGCCUACCACACAUACACUGUCUUCUAUGGUUGCUUGGUGGUCGUUCAAAGACAGAGGCCUGUGCCAUUGACGCUUUCAUAUGUGCUGAGAUACCUAACGUUGCCAUAGACCCCUUGGGUUAUGCUCUCGUUGAUGAAUUCAUGAUACAUGGUCCAUGCUGUGAUUACAACAGGCGGUGUCCAUGCAUGAAAAACGACAGAUGCUCUAAGAAAUUCCCUAAGACGUACCAAGACGAGACUGUCAUUGACGCUUUUGGCUAUACCCUUUAUAGAAGACGAAACAGAUGCCGGUUCGUAGUAAAAGGUGGAGUAAAAUUAGACAAUAGGAGCGUAGUGCCAUACAAUAUGCAAUUGCUCAAAAAUACAAUGCCCAUAUUAAUGUCGAGUGGUGCAACAAAACACACAUGAUCAAGUACUUGUUUAAAUAUGUUACCAAGGGAAGUGAUCGAGCCAAGAUAUAUUUUGAGUUGACUGCAAACACAACUAAUGCAUCUCCAGGCCCUCAAAUAGCCCUGCCAAAUGAGGUUCGCGAAUACAUAGAUGCCAGAUACUUAUCAACAUGUGAAGCUCUAUGGCGAAUCUUCGAAUUUGACAUUCACUUUAGAGUACCUUCUGUGGAACGUCUGGCGGUGCACUUACCUGAAAAAAAGUCGUGCAGUACGAGCCUGGGACAGACCUACAAGCAUUGCUUUUGAGCCGUGCAGCAAAGAAGACAAUGUUAACUGAAUGGUUUGAAACAAACAUGAAACAUAGUGAUGCACGUCACCUGACUUAUUGUGAUUUCCCCAAAGAGUGGUCGUGGGACGUUUCUAUUAGGUGUUGGUGUAGAAGGAGGUUGUCGUCUGCCAAGAUUGGUCGCAUGUACUACGUGCACCAAACAGCUGGGGAGCUAUACUAUCUACGCAUGCUCUUGAUGUUUGUUUUAGGUGCGACGAGCUUCGUUGAUAUAAGGACCUUCCAAAAUACUGUGUACGAAACAUUCAGAGAGGCGUGCGAAGCACGUGGUUUGCUCGAAGGUGACAACGAGUGGAACCUUCUAUUUGAUGAGGCAAUAGUCUCUGCCUCGGCGUUUCAGCUUCGACAAAUGUUCGUUACCAUUGUCGUUCAUUGUCCUGUUUGCAAUGUCCGUGCUUUGUUUGACAAAUAUUGGAUCUACUUCACCGAUGACAUACACUGUGGUCUUAGAGAAGCCCUUAGCAACCUGCACUACACAGCUCCACAUGAACAACUCCUUACGUUGCUUUUGAGGAAGCUAGCAGACACGUUCGCUAACAGUGGUGCCAACAUAGCUGAUUAUGACCUUCCAAUCUUAUCAUCAUGUGUGUGACGUAGUGUUUGGCAACUGGCUGAUAAACGACGAACUGAGUCCUGAACCAUUGCUAUUGCGUGACCAUGCUGUCGCUGCUGUCUGCAGUUGAAUGCUGACCAACGGCUCAUUUUCGAAAAGCUGACUGAAUCUGCGCUCUCCUGCUCAUCGGGCAUAUUUUUCGUAUGUGGACAUGGUGGGACGGGUAAAACUUUCUUGUGGAACGCUAUACUCAUGCAUUUGAGGUCCCAACAAAAAAUUGUGUUGUUUGUAGCGUCCUCCGGCGUGGCUUCACUACUAUUACCAAAAGGCCAUACUGCUCAUUCACGUUUCAAAAUACCCUUCGAUCUAGAUGAGGGUGGUGUUUGUGGUGUCAAGAGAGGUACCAUGUUGUCUGAACUUAUACAGCAGACUUCUCUUGUCAUAUGGGACGAGGCGCCGAUGACCCAUAGACAUUGCUUUGAGGCCCUAGACAGGACUAUGUGUGAUAUUCUUUCGGAACAUAGAGCGGAAAAUGCGAACAUCCCAUUUGGUGGCAAACCUGUUGUGCUUGGAGGAGACUUUCGCCAGAUUUUACCCGUGGUGCGCAAAGGUUCACGAUCUGCAAUAGUGAACGCAUCAAUUGCCAGCUCACCGUCGUGGCAACACGCUACUGUUUUGAAACUACGAACAAAUAUGAGGCUCUCCAACCCAUCUUUACAUGGUAAGGAACGUGUGGACUUGGAACAGUUUAGCAAAUGGGUCUUAGAUAUCGGCGAUGGUGCUCUGCCAGCGAUGACAAGAGGAGACGAGUCCGAACCUACAUGGAUUACGAUUCCUGAAGAUUUGUUGAUACAUACGGAUGGUGAUGAUGCUGCGGCACUCAUAUCCGAGGUCUACCCAGAUUUGUUAGAGAAAUAUAUGGACCCUACAUAAUUAGCUACACGCGCCAUUGUAUGUCCUAAUAACCUUACAAUCGAUAAAAUAAACGACUACAUUGUCUCAAUGCUCCCUGGACAUGGUGUCCAAUGCCUUAGCUGCGACACGAUCUCAAAGGCGUCUGAACGCAUACCUGAUUUUGACAUGCUAUAUCCUACUGAAUUCCUAAACUCUAUUAAUGCAGCAAAUUUCCCUUGCCACAAACUCGUGCUAAAAAGAGGCAUCACAGUCAUGUUGUUAUGUAACUUGAACCAGACCGCAGGGCUUUGUAAUGGAACAUGGAUGCUUGUAACUGAGGCCGGACAUCGUGUUCUUAAAUGCGUAGUACUAACGCCCUUCGGAGUCGACGAAGAGGUUUUCAUACCGAGGAUUGCGCUUAACACUACCGAUGUCAAAUGGCCCUUCACAUUGCAAAGAAGACAAUUUCCGAUACGAAUAUGCUAUGCCAUGACGAUUAAUAAGAGCUAGGGUCAGACCCUCUCAACGGUUGGCCUCUACCUUGACAGGCCUGUGUUUAUGCAUGGUCAGCUUUACGUCGUUGUUUCAAGGGUUACAUCUAGAAGUGGUCUUAGAAUUUUGAUUGAAAAUCCUGAUGGUUCCUGCGGAUCACAGACUCGAAACGUUGUUUACCGAGAAGUGUUGUGGGCCGUAGAUGCGGACCCCCUGCAGACUUCUUAUUGCAUAAUCGACUCAGACCUGUACAUAACCAAUGUGUAAAAUAAAAAUGUGUAUACCGGCAACGCGUUUAGUUAUCGUACCUAUUCUGUUCUAUGACUGCUUCCCCACCAAAAGAAUUUUUGGUCUCCUAUAUUGUUUGUCUAGCGGCCUACCGGCAAGCGAGCACUAUAUGUCGCAAGUUUACAAAGGGGAACCGCUAUGUCUGCAUGCUCCAAUAGAUCUUGUCAUACAACAUCCGUGGUAGAUGCCUACUCAAUGAUAUUGACCUAACUUUACCUAGCAUGUUUCUCCUAUCCUAAAUAUUUUUUUGUAAGCAUACUGCCCUUGUCAGCAUCGAGUGUAGUGUUUAUUGGUUGCUUAUUUCGCUGGAAAUGACUGACCUCUGCUUCAUUACUGCAGAUGGGGGACAUACUCAUUCCUAGCCUUAUGGUUGGAGACUGCUCUCGCACCUUGUGUUUGCGUGUCUCUAGGCUUUGGGAAUUCCUUGAUCCUCAGGAUGACAAUAGGCUCCUGCAUAUUGAUCUUGUUUUGCUUGAUGAAGAGGUAGAUCCAUCUUUAUACUGGUCUGAUACUUGUGCAUGCAUAGUAACCAUCAGCUCAGCCAACAUGCUAUACAAUGUCCUAUGCAGUUCUUCUAUACAGUGUUCUAUGCAAUUCUUGCGUGUUGCUUAAAAUGUUACCUCCUUUUGUUAGGGAAACAACAUACAUGCCCAUGUCUAUCCUCCGUUGUGCCAACAGCUCAGUGUGCUGCUCGAUGAGGGAGGGAUGUACAACUUGAAGUAUUUCUUAGUCAGGAAAGCUAACAGAUUCUACAAAUCGAUAGAAAACUGCAACAUGAUCAGCUUUACAAAGUGGACUAUGGUUGAGGUAGUCCUCCAGAUCCCCCCUGCUUUCCCGGUUUGCACAUAUAACCUCACUCCCAUAGACCAGCUCCAACCGCGUGUGGACUACAAGGAAUAUUUCACUGGUAACCUUCUACGCAUAGUGGUUUACAUGUUAUAGGUAACAUGAACACAGUACUAAUGCCCUCGCCAUCUCUAUGGUAUAUGUGCUCGGUGUUGUCAGCGUGAUCUCCCGUGUUUCAUCACUACGCACAAGGGGACGACAGUCUGAGGUUAUGAAGCGAACAGUCACUAUAAGCAAUGCAAGGUACCAUGUGCAUUCCUAUCCUACUACACAUUCCUUUUGGGUGCCACAUACAUAUAUGUAGUCUGAUUUUGUUUGCAACAACAUAGCAAGGAACCCAUGAACAACCUCAACCUAGACCACAGAUUACCACUUAUCAUUCUCCACGCUAGCAAAGUUGUCCAUACGCUCAAGUGAAUAGAUGAAGGGUAAAUGCACCGAGACAGUAAGAACGCCAUUACAUCACGUGGGGUCAAUUUGCGUCCAAAAACUCAGCAGACACUAUGUCCACAGAUCAUGCAGGGGAUAUGCUACAAACAAGUUGCCCAUAGCGGGAAAUAAAAAAUGACAUCUUCCUUGCAGAGGAAAACUGGUUCUAAACUACCUAUGUCUUCAGUUGACCAUGCUUCAUUGCAAUGUACCUUAGAAGAGAUCAUUUUUCCUGCUCAGUCAAUCCUCCAUGUCUAAUAUUAUCCAUUGCCCGGACAAAGUUUCCUUUACUACAUGGGCAUACCAUGCAUGUUGUGCUCAUAUAGAAGAUUACUAAACAGCUUCAGCUACCAUCGACCAUUUAAACAAACAGCUAUUUUGAAGCUCUAGACGCACAAUUUACGACUUUUAUUUCUUUGCGAUGUCCACACCUAACACGAUACAAUGACCAAUUUAUUUGUAAACUCGUUGUUCUUCACUCCGACAGGGAUAUCGGGCCAACCGUUGAUGUUGUGCUUUGGGGCGAGCGGGCCACAACUUUCCUAGCUGAACAGGUCCACAGGGACAGUGGAUCCUCACCACAGAUCAUAAUAUUUGUUGGCACUCUCGUGAGGAGCUACGCUGGUAAGUCUACUACAUCCCUUUGGUUGCACUGCUAAUACGCAUGAGCAUCUGAAAGGUUCCAUUGUAUUUUAGAUAAUGUGUCUUUAUCGGGAGGAUCAUCAUGCAAGUGGUACAUAGAUGCACCGGUCCCGGAAGUAAACGCUCUCAGAACUAGGUAACUUACUCAUUCUGGGUUUUCAGACAUACAAUUUUCAGUCGUCUUUCUCACCAAAUCUGAUUACUGUCAUUCGUAAACUGGCAUGGCUAAACAGUGCUGAAACCAACCACCACCCUGUCAUUUGGGAUCAGGGCAAAGCAGCUAAUGAGAGUACAGUAAUCGCAGUUCCUGAACAUAAGAAGCUCAAGGAUAUUAAGUACCUCCAUCCUUUUGAAAAUAAGGUGAGGUCCCUCUACUCGGCUAAACCUUGCAGUCCUAAGGUUUAUCAUAGGUUGAUACUGUUCACUUCAAUUACAUUGUUUAUAGAAGAAGGAAUGGCUUGUCAUCGUAAAGGUGCUCAAGAUUGAUAGCUCAUGGUGGUACAACGCAUGCAAAAAAUGCCUUAGGACAACCAAACCGCACGGUGACACAUACAAGUGCACCAAUAAUUCCUGUGACGCGCCUACCCCAAGGUCAGCUCUUAUACGUCUCUCCCGUUUUUGUUAAGGUCCUGCUAGAUCGCCUGGACGCCUAAGCGAUGCCUUAAAAAACACCGUUACCUAUCUCUCUCCUUUUUGUUUCCUGCACACCAAACCUUUUUCACUCCUUAAAAAUUCACAUGCCCAGACCUAUAAGGUCACUGUUUUGGGCGGAGGGAGUAACAAGCAUUAGAUAAAGAAAUACAAAAACACAGAAAUGAGACACUAAAUUACCUCAAAACGGUUCCAAAAAUAUAAAAUCAGGUGAUGCAUGAAUGCUGACGUAGCAGAGAAAGCCAAAUAUGAGAAGCCUGGUAAAGCAUAAGUCAUAAAGCACCAGAAAUGUGUCAUUAGUUAAUCAAUAGUUCAGUCAGAAAAAAGAUGUUUGAUACACGUACGAUAUAAGUAUUGAUAGUGCUGAUGUUCUCAGCUAACCACAUAUUAAAAUUGCAAUGCUGUAAUACAAUAAAGGGUCGUUGUUCAGUUUUUGUCCAUGGUAUAUUUUUUCUAACAGGCUCUCUAUGCAUGAUACAAGAUACUGAAAGAAAUAUUAGGUUCUUACAGGAUUUGGCAAGUAGGUUCCUGUGCCUUAGAGUUUUUAGGUUCUUACAGGAUACUGAAAGAAACAGUUUUUGCCUCACAUAAGUAGAUAUGGAAAACCAAAAAAUACAGCAACAAGAAGCGUGGAAAGAACUGCAUCGAUAUGGAUGUCCGCACACUGAAAAGCAAAGAUAUCAGGAUAAGUAUUUAAGAAUGAUUAGCUUGAAAAUUUUGUCCUGCACAAGAUCAUUUCUGAUAGAUGCAUUCAUGCUACCCGACUUAUACUAUUUCGAUGAGACUAAGUGGUUUAAUUUUAGCUUUCUCUACCCACAUAUCUUUUAUUGUAGUUGCUCUCUCAGCAGUUUGCUUGAGCAAAAGGCCUAGAUAUUCCCUUAGGGAAAAUUUGUUGUGGGACAUCACGACUUCGUAUUAUUAGCUCUAGCCUAUAGAACACAGCAAAAGUCACUGUUUGGGGGGGAGGCGCUGUCAAAUUGUAGCUGUUAGCUGGGUGCCAGGGGCCCCAUUAAAAUACUCUUUACGCCCGAAAGAGGAGAGUUUUUUUAUUUUGGUGUCCCUGCAUCACAAAUGAACCCGAGCCGACCCAAACCAGACCCAACAGAAAUUUGUAUGAAACAGUGAAUUCUCUAAAGGGGCGUUCCAAACUAAACACACUGAGCAUGAUAGACACAGACCAACUUUACCCCUUUCAGUUGCAUAUUGCAAUUUACAAGUAAAUAAUAAAAAAGAUGAAAAAAUCACCACAAGAGUUGCUAUGAUGGAGAUUGUCCAGUAUGUGGCUUGUGCAGUUAGAGUAUCUUAGCUUUAGUGAAGUUUAGUGCUGGGAACAAGUCUUUUCUGCUGCCACUGACCCGAGAGUGGCUGUUGCUCUUGCUCAACCUACUUUGUUUAUUGUGACUUGACUUUGUGUCAACCUCUUGACUUUUGCUUAUUCCUAUAACAAAUUUCUUGUACUUAACACCCCUUAGCAUAUCCUGGUCCUCUUGGGUGAGAAUCGGUGGCAAAUUGUUUGUUUUGCCCGACAACAGUGUGAUUGCAGCACCAUUUUGUGUUGGUGAGCUGACUGGAGAUUGAUGGGAGACCUUACACCUCCACUAGUGUUUCCUGAUUUGCUGAUUAGAUGAUGAAGCCACACGACCAGCUCCAGGAUAAGUGCUUCGGUCUUCUCCUUGUCAGCAAGAUACAACGUCUCCAUUCGGGACAUAUCCAUCUGCCCUGAUAUCUUGCAGUUUAAUUCAGAUCUGUAUUAGAAAAGAGAUUGUUACCGACACAUCAUAGUUUCAUCAAUGUCCAUUUACAUCACUGAGAAACUUCAGUUUCAUCAAUUUCUGUGUAGAAUGGCCUAUGGCAGUUUUUGCAAGCGUGCUUGUUCUGGUGAUAUAGCUAAAAGAAAAGCCGUGAAAGCAAACUAUGGCAACUAAGGGAGACCUUUAGUGUCUAUGCCAAAAUUUAGAACUAAAUUGAACUAAGGGUUUCACCUAGCAUCGUUGAAGGUCGGUUAAGUUGAGCUGUAGCUCAACUAGACUCACAAAAGGCUCGAGCUUAAGUGCUUAACAUAUGGUAUCUGAAAUGUUAACUGGAUAGUAGCAAGCAGUACUUAGAAACUUGCAUAGGAGUGAGAAGAUGCUAAUCAUAUUUGCCUUUUUAAAGCUUUACUCGACAAUAUACACAUAGGAUUGAGUAAAAAAACAUAGUGAACUAAAGAAGCGCACCAGCCAAACUUGAGGUCUGAUAACAGACCUCAUGAGGAGACAAUUUAGAUACAUGGCCUUCUUUACCCCUUCAGUAAUAUUUGAAACAAAAGGGAGAAAACCUAAUAAUAAGUUGGCUGCAAAUCCUAGACACGUGGCAAAAGAUCAACAAUAGAUCAAAUAAUCCUCUGUUUGAGAUUUUCGAACUUUGCAAACAGGUCAUCGCUGCUUUCCUGCAUACAUAGAAAUAUUGAAAAAGGAAGUCGAUCUUCAGGUCACCGGGAACACGGCAGAAACAUGUGCAAUCGAGCCAGGUUUUAUAUGGUGAUUCAGAUUUGAGGAUUCAGAUGUACCUUGGAAAGGAGAUAUCGUACAAUGAAACAAAUUGUGAAACCACAUCCUACUAAAUCCAGCAAUUUUGGGUCUGUUAUAAGUCAACCAAGCAGGUUAAUGAGCAUUUGGUAUUAGAACUAAGUGUAGAUUUCCUGAAGGAAAUUGUAACUUCUGUACUAGGGGGACUGAAUCAACUGCACGAACAACAAAAGAUAAGAUCCAUAAAGCAACAACAAAAGAUAGGUUGAAGUCAUUAUAUAUAUAUAUAUAUAUAUAUUAUCUAUAGACCUUCAGACUGUUAUGCAUUUCUACUUGAUCAAAAUUUAUGCUUGUCUUGAAAUAACAUGUAGGAAGGUAGCACUUGGAGAGAUUUAAUUAAAUCCAGAGUUUAAUUUGAUAUAAUUGUCAGUGGAGGAUUUUGAGAAUAGAAUUCAAGUAAACUCUACUGCUCCUGACUGCUGCCACCUGCCAGUCAUUUCUUUCCUUCUGCUUCCCAGUUGUUUCUUGGAUGUUCAAUGUUCUGCUUACAAGUUUGGUUUCACUAUGCUUUUGGUGUCUGAUACCUUAACGUCUGCACUAUAGGGCGCGCAACGCGCGCUUCCUGAUCAACAAUCAAACCACUCUGUGCAGGUACAAGAUAUCCCUCACCGCUGAAGACGAUACUGACACCGCCAAAUUUAUCUUCUUUGGACGAAUGGCGCAGCGCCUCAUUAAAAAAAUGUGGACGCCCUCAUCUCGACUAAUCCACCCGGUUUCAUUCCAAGAGAAAUUACAAAUCUACUGGAAAAGUCUUUCGAGUGGAAUGUUAGCUUCACCGAAAGCACAAUUAUUUAUAUCAGUGUUUCCUUCCAAGUGAAUGCUAUUGUCGGCGUUUCGAGACCGGGGGGGUCCCUAAGCCGACGAGUGAAUGUCGCUGCGUGCCCCAGCCCAGAUGGGUCGAGCGCGUGGGCGAGCGCGAAGGGGGGAAGCGAGGUGGCCGGAGAUGGGCGUGAGAGAGGUGGAAAUCCCGCGGCCUUCGUGUUCGUCCCGCGCCCAGGUCGGGUGCGCUUGCAGUAGGGGGUUACAAGUGUCCACGCGGGUGAGGGAAGCGAGCGGCCCCAAGAGAGCGCCUGUCCCGUCCUCGUCCCCGCGCGGCCAACCCUCUCUAAGAGGGUCCUGGUCCUUCCUUUUAUAGUCGUAAGGAGUGGAUCCAGGUGCACAACGGGGGUGUAGCAGAGUGCUACGUGUCUAGCGGGGGAGAGCUAGUGCCCUAAGUACAUGCCGAUGUGGCAGCCGGAGAGAUCUUGGCACCCAGAUGGUGUGAUGUCGUGGCCGUCGGAGGAGCAACGGAGCCUGGCGGAGGGACAGCUGUCGGAGCGGUUGAGUCCUUGCUGACGUCCUCCUGCUUCCGUAAGAGAGCUGAGAGCCGCCGUCGUCACAGAGCUUGCGGGGCGCCAUCAUUGCCUAUCUGGCGGAGCUAGCCAGAUGGGACACCGGUCUUGUUCUCUGCGGCCCGAGUCGGCUCGGGGUAGGGUGAUGAUGGCGCUUCCUGUUGACGUGGCUGGCCUGCGCCCUAGGUUGGGCGACGUGGAGGCUCCUCCGAAGCCGAGGUCGAGUCUGUCUUCUGUGGCCGAGGCCGAGUUCGAGCCCCUGGGUCGGGCGAGGCGGAGGUCGUUCGAAAGAGGCCGGGGCGGAGUCCGAGCCCUGGGGUCAGGCGAAGCAGAGUUCGUCGUCUUCCGGGACUUAGCUCGAGUCCGAGCCCUGGGGUCGGGCGGAGCGGAGUUCGCCGUCUUCCGGGACUUAGCCCGAGUGCGAGCCCUAGGGUCGGGCGGAGCGGAGUUCGCCGUCUUCCGGGACUUAGCCCGAGUCCGAGCCCUGGGGUCGGGCGGAGCGGAGUUCGCCGUCUUCCGGGACUUAGCCCGAGUCCGAGCCCUGGGGUCGGGCGGAGCGGAGUUCGCCGUCUUCCGGGACUUAGCCCGAGUCCGAGCCCUGGGGUCGGGCGGAGCGGAGUUCGCCGUCUUCCGGGACUUAGCCCGAGUCCGAGCCCUGGGGUCGAGCGGAGCGGAGCUUCCUAUGGUGCCUUUGGCAGGGCCUGACUGCCCGUCAGUCUCACUCUGUCAAGUGGCACUGCAGUCGGAGUGGCGCAGGCGGCGCUGUCCUUUUGUCAGGCCGGUCAGUGGAGCGGCGAAGUGACGGCGGUCACUUCGGCUCUGUCGGGGGGCGUGUGUCAGGACAAAGGUGUCAGGCCACCUUUGCGUUAAAUGCUCCUGCGAUUCGGUCGGUCGGUGCGGCGAUUUAGUCAGGGUUGCUUCUUAGCGAAGGCAGGGCCUCGGGCGAGCUGGAGAUGUGUCCGCCGUUGGAGGGGGGCCUCGGGCGAGACGGAGUUCCUCCGGGGUCGGCUGCCCUUGUCCGAGGCUAGGCUCGGGCGAGGCAUGAUCGAGUCGCUCGAACGGACUGAUCCCUGACUUAAUCGCACCCAUCAGGCCUUUGCAGCUUUAUGCUGAUGGGGGUUACCAGCUGAGAAUUAGGCGUCUUGAGGGUACCCCUAAUUAUGGUCCCCGACAGUAGCCCCCGAGCCUCGAAGGGAGUGUUAGCACUCGCUUGGAGGCUUCCGUCGCACUUUUUUGCAAGGGGACCAGCCUUUCUCGGUUGCAUUUUGUUCCGGUGGGUGCGCGCGAGCGCACCCGCCGGGUGUAGCCCCCGAGGCCUCGGAGGAGUGGUUUCACUCCUCCGAGGUCCUAAUGCCUUGCGUAAUGCUUCGGCUGGCCUGGUUGUUCCCUCAUGCGAACUGGCCGUAGCCCGGGUGUACGGUCGGGGCCCAAGUUCUCGGGCUAGUAUGUUGACGCUGUCAACGGUUCGGCCAGAGCCGGGUUUGCGAGAGCAGCCCCCGAGCCUCCGCACAGGGCGAGAGGACGAUCAGGGACAGACUCGGCUUUUUACAUACGCCCCUGCGUCGCCUUUCCGCAAGGAGGAGGGGGGGGAAAGCGCCAUGUUACCCUCGAUGGGCGCCGAACAUGGUGUCUCCGGUGAGCUGCAAGCGGGUAAUCCGAGUGGACGUCCGUGCCCCGUUCGUUAGGGGUCGGCUAGGGGCCCAGAGGCACGCCCAAAAGUACCUGCGGGUGAUCUGCCGGACCCGGUCCCCUGGCGACGGGGUCCGAGGGCUCGAUGCCUCCCUCUGAUGGGAUUCCGUUACAAGAUCGCUCCCGCUGGUCUCGGAAAUGUCCUAGGGUACCUCGGGAGCGCAGCCCGAGCCUUGGUUAUGUAUCGGACGUACCCCUGGUCAUCCCUCGCUCGGCGUCUGAGGCGGCUGUGAACCCUUCGGGGGCCAGCCUUCGAACCCCUGAUCAGUAAUGGGCGCGGAGCCCGAGUAGCCUGAGGCGGCCGUGGAACCCUUCGGGGGGCCGGCCUUCGAACCUCUGACCAGUAGUGGGUGUAGGGCCCACGCGAUCUGAGGCGGCUGUUGAACCCCUCGGAGGGCCAGCCUUCGAACCUCUGAUCAGUAGGGGGGCUCGGAGCCCGGUUCCUUCACGGGGAAGGAUCCUUUUGGGGGUAUCCCCCUUUCCCGGUCCCUGUUGCAAGAGAUAGAGAAAGAGGAAAAAAGGAAAAGGAUACGAAAUCGAACGACGUGGUGUACCUUUUUUGGCGCGGUUAUCACGACAAAGGCGAAGCGUCGCCCGCUUCUCCUGCCAGAAGCGCCGCCUGUCCCGCCGUGGAGUUAAUGCGACGGGGCGAGUGGUUGGCAGGGCGAUCGUCGCGCGUGCGCGAGCCGUUCGAGGAACGGAUCACGGGCGCGUCGUCUUCACGCCGUGAGAGGGGGUUCUCUUGCUGCCCCCGGAUGGGACGUGAGCUUGGCUGACGACGUGACCGCUGCUCCCGCUCGCCUGCCACCGUCAUUACUGCCGGCCCACUUUCGGCCGCAUUGACCGUCGCGCUAGGCUAGCGCUGCUGGGCCGUGCGCUGGGUCGCCUCGAGUCGCGGUAUUGGUUCCGCAACCGAAGAGGCGCGGUGAUGGCGCAAGUGGCGGUGCAGUUGCUUGCAUGCAGCAUCCGGCGCGCCGGUUGCGUGACGCGUGGGCCUGGGCCUCCAGGCCGGGCGCGUUGGGAGUCGGAGAAGCGCGUCCACUUGGUGCGGUUGCAUGCCGCCUGCAUGGCUGCCCGCCUCUCUCGCCCGUUGGUCUGGGCCAAAGUGGAGGGUCACUUGUAACCGCUGGGCGGUUGAGUGCACCACGCGCGGCGGUUUGGCUUCUUCUGCUCCGAGCCGGCCAUCGUGAUAGGGGAGGCGGCUGACGCCGACGUGGUCCCGAGCCCGCCUGUCGUGCCGGCCAUGCUGGCGCCUGCCGCUACCGAAGUCGCCGCUGUCCCAGCCGGAGAGCGGCCGGUUGCUGUCGGCGUCGAGACGGCUGAUGCGUCGGCGCCCAGUGCCUCGGAAGAGGUGGGCGUGGAGGCACGACCCGUCCAGCCGGGCGGCAGCCUCAUCGCUGUGCGGCGGAGCCCCGGGGCCCGACGCCAGUUGCUCCGGUUUCGGACCCGCGAGGCCUCGGACCCUGUCUUCAUUCUCGACGAUGAACAGGAGGACCAGUCCUGGGAUGAGCUCCGCGAGUGUGCUGAAGCAACGGUGGGGUCGCUCCGGUCAUCGCUGGAGGUUUUCUGCAGGGACGUCCCCAAAAUCCUCCAGGUAACGGUUUCAGGCAUACCUUUUCUUUUCUGUGAACGAGGCGUUCUUCGUGAUGCCUCGUUUCCUUCCCCAGGAUCUGACGGAUCGGAGCGCCGCCAAGUCGUCGUUCAUCCGCCGCGAGGUCGAUGUCUGGGGCUCGCUGCGAUCCCUGAGGACCUCGCUCGCCGGGGCUACUGCGUGCCUCUCUCAGCAGGGUGCCAAGGUAGCGGACCUCCAGUUGCUCUGCACUGACCUGAGAGCCGAGGCGGCAGCAGCGCGCGCGGAGGCGGCAGCGGCGCGCGCAGAGGCGCAACAGCAGCGGUCGGAGUUCGUCCAGGUCGUCGAGGAGCGGGACCAAUCUCGGGACCGGGCUACCGAAGCCGAAAGCCGGGCUGAAGCCCUCGCAGCUGACUUAGCCGCAGCCCAGGUCGCUGCCUCGGAGCAGCGUGCCCAAGCCGGAGGUACGCCUUGGCCGUCCCUGGUUCUUGUUCUUGUCUGUUUCCUCUGCUUGUGUUUGAGUUCUUUCUUCUGGCUGUUCGCAGAGCUCGAGCCCGCCCUUGACGAGUCCGCCAAGGCGCUUGCCGAGGCGCUUGCCGGAGCUGCCGAGCAGAGGGAGGCCGACCUCGCGGCCAUGUCCGAGGCCGUCUCGGACGUUUAUCGGAUCCUUGGCUCCGGCGACGUCCCUUCAGGAAGCUCCCCUCAAAGCCGCCUUCAAGCCUUGGGUGAUCACGCGCGCGGCAGAGUCCGCGAGGCGCUACACCACGGCGUCAGGUGGGCCUUUGCCGUGCUCGCUUCCCACUACGUUGUGGACCUGGAGCGGGUUAGUGAGGGGUAUUGUCUUCCUGACGAAGACGAAGCUGCCCUGGCAGAAGUUCAGCGGCUCGACGCGGUCGCCGCGGGUCCGAGCGCAGUGCUGGCGACCACCUUUGAGGCGGAGAUCCUUCCCCCUGCGCCGUCGCCGGAAGCUGAGAUGGACCUUACCGAAGGCGGGGACGGAGCUGAGGGCGCGACUCCUUCCCAAGGCGGCGCCUAACUCUUGCUGAAACAGUUUCUGUUGGAUGUGUGUGUGUCUUACUGCGGCCGCUGAGGCCUGAACACUUUGUUUUCAUUGCAUGAAGUCGUACUCUUCUUCCUUUUAUUUUGCGUGUCUGGUUUAGCCUGUCAAUAAUAGGGUGGCUUCCCGAGUUGGGUCAUUUUUCGUGGCGGGUGAUGAGUGAGGUGUCCCUAACCCGGAGGCAUAGGAGUUCCUCGGCUCAGUCGGCCUCACCACUUACAUGUACCCACGUUCGCUUCUCGGGGCCCUGCUUCUGACAUAGCCGGGAGAACGCAAAAGCCUUUUUUGAUCGAAAAUUUUGGAUGCGGAGAGGUACACCCAAUCUUGACGCAGAGGGGUUCCCCCUUUUUAGCCCCCGAGGGAGGGUCGGGCUCUGCCGAGGCGAGGCCGACCCUUCCUUGACGACUGAGACUUGUGUGGGAGCGAGGUAUACGAACAGCUCGAAAACAUCUUAAGGGUAGAAGCAACGUAGCUGUCGGACGUUCCAAGCGUUGCCGUAGACCUCGCCUUGACCGCCGGCCAGCUUGUACGUUCCGGGCUCCAGAACGUCGGCGGUGACAAGCGGCCUUUCCCGGGGGUGCGUGUAGCCCCGGGUACCCCCAGCAAGGGCUCGGGGUGCUGUGCGAUGGUCGGGGUCUUCUCCUGGUUGGCUUCGAUGCCCCGUUUGGAGAUAAUGAACUCCAAGACCAUGCCCUAGGGCGCCCCGAGGACCCACCUUUCAGGGUAGAGCUUGACGCUUUUCGCUUCUUUUAGCUUGUGGAUCUCCUCGCCUAUCACUCUGCGCUUCUCCGUGUCGAAUCGGCGCAGAGGCUGCUUGACGGGUCGGGCUCCGGCCCGAAUAUCCAGCGAGUGCUCGGCGACAUCCCUCGGUAUGCCGGGCAUGUCCGAGGGACUCCACGCAAAGACGUCGGUGUUUGCGCGGAGAAAGUCGAUGAGCACCGCUUCCUAUUUGGGGUCGUGCCCGGAACCGAUCCGGAUCUGCUUGGAGGUGUCGCCACUGGGGUCGAGAGGGACGGCCUUGACCGUCUCCACUGGCUCGAAGUUGCCAGCAUGGCGCUUCACGUCGGGCACCUCUUUUGAGAGGCUUUCCAGGUCGGCGAUGAGGGCCUCGGACUCGGCGAGGGCCUCGGCGUACUCCACGCACUCCACGUCGCAUUCGAACGCGUGUUUGUACGUGGGGCCGACGGUGAUGACCCCGUUGGGGCCCGGCAUCUUGAGCUUCAGGUAAGUGUAGUUGGGGACGGCCAUGAACUUCGCGUAGCAUGGCCUCCCCAGUACCGCGUGGUAGGUUCCUCGGAACCCGACCACCUCGAACGUCAGAGUCUCCCUUCGGAAGUUGGAGGGCGUUCCGAAGCAGACAGGAAGGUCGAGUCGUCCGAGGGGCUGGACGCGCUUCCCGGGAAUGAUCCCGUGGAAGGGCGCAGCGCCUGCUCGGACGGAGGACAGAUCGACGCGCAGGAGCCCGAGGGUCUCGGCGUAGAUGAUGUUGAGGCAGCUGCCCCCGUCCAUAAGGACCUUGGUGAGCCUGACGUCGCCGACGAUGGGGUCGACGACGAGCGGGUAUUUCCCCGGGCUCGGCACGUGGUCGGGGUGGUCAGCUUGGUCGAAAGUGAUGGGCUUGUCGGACCAGUCUAGGUAGACUGGCGCCGCCACCUUCACCGGGCAGACCUCCCGGCGCUCUUGCUUGCGGUGCCGAGCCGAGGCAUUCGCCGCAUGCCCACUGUAGAUCAUGAAGCAGUCGCGGACCUCGGGGAACUCUCCUGCUUGGUGAUCUUCCUUCUUGUCGUCGUCGCGGGCCCUGCCACCCUCCGCGGGUGGCCCGGCCCUGUGGAAGUGGCGCCGAAGCAUGACGCACUCCUUAAGGGUGUGCUUGACGGGCCCCUGAUGAUAAGGGCACGGCUCCUUGAGCAUCUUGUCGAAGAGGUUGGCACCUCCGGGGGGCUUCCGAGGGUUCUUGUACUCGGCGGCGGCGACAAGGUCCGCGUCGGCGGCGUCGCGUUUCGCUUGCGACUUCUUCUUGCCUUUCCUCUUGGCGCCGCGCGGAGUAGACGCCUCGGGAGCAUCUUCCGAUGGGCGGCCCUGGGGCUGCUUGUCCUUUUGGAAGAUGGCUUCGACCGCCUCCUGGCCAGAGGCGAACUUGGUGGCGAUGUCCAUCAGCUCGCUCGCCCUGGUGGGGGUCUUGCGACCCAACUUACUCACCAGGUCGCGGCAGGUGGUGCCGGCAAGGAACGCGCCGAUGACAUCCGAGUCGGUGAUGUUGGGCAGCUCGGUGCGCUGCUUCGAGAAUCGUCGGAUGUAGUCCCGGAGAGACUCUCCCGGCUGCUGCCGGCAACUUCAGAGGUCCCAGGAAUUCCCGGGGCGCACGUACGUGCCCUGGAAAUUGUCGGCGAAGGCUUGUACCAGGUCAUCCCAGUUGGAGAUCUGCCCCGAAGGCAGGUGCUCCAACCAGGCGCGAGCGGUGUCGGAGAGGAACAGGGGGAGGUUGCGGAUGAUGAGGUUGUCGUCGUCCGUUCCACCAAGUUGGCAGGCCAGGCGGUAGUCCGCGAGCCACAGUUCCGGUCUCGUUUCCCCCGAGUACUUUGUGAUAGUAGUCGGGGGUCGGAACCGGGUCGGGAACGGCGCCCGUCGGAUGGCCCGGCUGAAGGCCUGUGGACCGGGUGGUUCGGGCGAGGGACUCCGAUCCUCCCCGCUGUCGUAGCGUCCCCCACGCCUGGGGUGGUAGCCUCGGCGCACCCUCUCGUCGAGGUGGGCCCGACGGUCGCGAUGAUGGUGCUCGUUGCCGAGGUGGCCCGGGGCCGCAGGCGCGGUGUUGCGCGUGUGCCCAGUGUAGACCGAGGCUUCCCGCAUGAAUCGGGAAGUCGCGGCAUGAGGUUCCGAGGGGUAUCCCUGCCUUCGGGAGGCAGAGCUCUCGGCCCGUCGGACCGCAGCGCCUUCCAGGAGAUUCUUGAGCUCUCCCUGGAUUCGCCGACCCUCGGUGGUUGAUGGCUCCGGCAUCGCGCGGAGAAGCAUCGCUGCUGCAGCCAGGUUCUGACCGGCCCCACUAGAUGCGGGUGGCGGCCUGACCCUGACGUCGUUGGCGACGCGGUGCUGGAAACCCUGGGGCAGGUGACGUAUUUCUCCGGUCGGGGGUUGACUCGCCCAUACCUUCCCGACGUCCCGGCGGAUCGGCUCAAGCGCUCCUGCUCCCUCGUCGAGCCUGGCCCGCGCCCCGCGGACUUGCUCGAGCUGUGGGUCGUGACCCCCCGCCGGAACGGGGACCACAGCUAGCUCCCGCGGGAUGUCAGCGCGAGGCACCGGCCUAGGGAGAUCACCGUCCUCCGGCAUGCCGAGAUGGUUGCCUUCGGAGGGAUCCCCUAGCUCGACGUGGAAACAUUCGCGGCUUGGGCUGCAGUCCUCGUCGUCGAGGUUGCGGCUACCGUCGGAACAGUCGGAGAGGCAGUAGUCACAUGCGGUCAUGAAGUCCCGCAUGGCACUGGGGUUGCCAAAUCCAGAGAAAUCCCAACAGAUGUUGGGGUCGUCAUCUUCCUCGGACCCAGAGGGCCCGUAGGUCGAGACGUCCGUCAGCCGGUCCCAAGGCGACCGCAUGCAAAACCUCAGAGGGUUUGAUCUCGCCUCUACGAGAGCGCCCGCCAAAGCAAGGUCGCUAGGCGGGUUGAGGCUGAGUCGAAAUGACGUAGGAUGGGAAUCGGUUGGUACCUUUCGGUCGGCGAGCAGCGACAUAGUCACGUCGGGGACUGAUUGCACCGUCGUCCCAGGUACGAGGGCGACGUCCUGCAAGCUCUCCGCGAGCGCACUGGCGUCGUCCACUUGCUCGGGGUUGGCGUGUCGCGGGGAGACGGCGCUCGCCUUUAUCUCAAACGCGAGGUCGACACCCGACGCGCCCCCCGUUGGGGCGCUGGGGACGUCGACUCGCUCGACAGCCGACGAGGCGCAGCCUCCCGCUUGGCCUUGGUUGCCCCGCCUCCUCCUCCGUUGGCGGGGGAGAGGACGGGGCGAGCUCGGAUGUUGUUCUUCCACCACGCGGGGAAGACGUCGUCGAUUCCGCCGCCGACGGGCGGGCUGCCGGCCGCCAUUGUCGUUGUCGCGUGGCGGUGGAAGGAGUAUCAUGUCGUAGCUGCCGUUGAAGGACAUGAACUCAAGACUCCCGAAACGGAGCACCGUCCCAGGUCGGAGAGGUUGCUGGAGACUGCCCAUCUGGAGCUUGACGGGAAGCUGUUCGUCAACACGCAGCAGGCCCCUACCUGGCGCGCCAACUGUCGGCGUUUCGAGACCGGGGGGUCCCUAAGCCGACGAGUGAAUGUCGCUGCGUGCCCCAGCCCAGAUGGGUCGAGCGCGUGGGCGAGCGCGAAGGGGGAAGCGAGGUGGCCGAAGAUGGGCGUGAGAGAGGUGGAAAUCCCGCGGCCUUCGUGUUCGUCCCGCGCCCAGGUCGGGUGCGCUUGUAGUAGGGGGUUACAAGAGUCCACACGGGUGAGGGAAGCGAGCGGCCCCAAGAGAGCGCCUGUCCCGUCCUCGUCCCCGCGCGGCCAACCCUCUCUAAGAGGGCCCUGGUCCUUCCUUUUAUAGUCGUAAGGAGUGGAUCCAGGUGUACAACGGGGGUGUAGCAGAGUGCUACGUGUCUAGCGGGGGAGAGCUAGUGCCCUAAGUACAUGCCGAUGUGGCAGCCGGAGAGAUCUUGGCACCCAGCUGGUGUGAUGUCGUGGCCGUCGGAGGAGCAACGGAGCCUGGCGGAGGGACAGCUGUCGGAGCGGUUGAGUCCUUGCUGACGUCCUCCUGCUUCCGUAAGAGAGCUGAGAGCCGCCGUCGUCACAGAGCUUGCGGGGCGCCAUCAUUGCCUAUCUGGCGGAGCUAGCCAGAUGGGACACCGGUCUUGUUCUCUGCGGCCCGAGUCGGCUCGGGGUAGGGUGAUGAUGGCGCUUCCUGUUGACGUGGCUGGCCUGCGCCCUAGGUUGGGCGACGUGGAGGCUCCUCCGAAGCCGAGGUCGAGUCUGUCUUCUGUGGCCGAGGCCGAGUCCGAGCCCCUGGGUCGGGCGAGGCGGAGGUCGUUCGGCAGAGGCCGGGGCGGAGUCCGAGCCCUAGGGUCAGGCGAAGCAGAGUUCGUCGUCUUCCGGGACUUAGCCCGAGUCCGAGCCCUGGGGUCGGGCGGAGCGGAGUUCGCCGUCUUCCGGGACUUAGCCCGAGUCCGAGCCCUGGGGUCGGGCGGAGCGGAGUUCGCCGUCUUCCGGGACUUAGCCCGAGUCUGAGCCCUGGGGUCGGGCGGAGCGGAGUUCGCCGUCUUCCGGGACUUAGCCCGAGUCCGAGCCCUGGGGUCGGGCGGAGCGGAGUUCGCCGUCUUCCAGGACUUAGCCCGAGUCCGAGCCCUGGGGUCGGGCGGAGCGGAGUUUGCCGUCUUCCGGGACUUAGCCCGAGUCCGAGCCCUGGGGUCGGGCGGAGCGGAGCUUCCUAUGGUGCCUUUGGCAGGGCCUGACUGCCCGUCAGUCUCACUCUGUCAAGUGGCACUGCAGUCGGAGUGGCGCAGGCGGCGCUGUCCUUUUGUCAGGCCGGUCAGUGGAGCGGCGAAGUGACGGCGGUCACUUCGGCUCUGCCGGGGGGCGUGUGUCAGGACAAAGGUGUCAGGCCACCUUUGCGUUAAAUGCUCCUGCGAUUCGGUCGGUCGGUGCGGCGAUUUAGUCAGGGUUGCUUCUUAGCGAAGGCAGGGCCUCGGGCGAGCCGGAGAUGUGUCCGCCGUUGGAGGGGGGCCUCGGGCGAGACGGAGUUCCUCCGGGGUCGGCUGCCCUUGUCUGAGGCUAGGCUCGGGCGAGGCAUGAUCGAGUCGCUCGAACGGACUGAUCCCUGACUUAAUCGCACCCAUCAGGCCUUUGCAGCUUUAUGCUGAUGGGGGUUACCAGCUGAGAAUUAGGCGUCUUGAGGGUACCCCUAAUUAUGGUCCCCGACAGCUAUAAACGCAGAAAUUGAUGGUGGCAACAUACUUCCAACUACAUCGUCCUCACAGCCAUCGUCGACCAUACUUUCACAAGGUAAAGCUUAUCGUAUCUGUUUAGUUGAGCUAUGUACGUUAGUUUGUGCCAAGUUAGGAAUGAAACUAAUGCUUUGUUUUCUCUGCUUCUUUAUUUCCAUUUCGUUCUACCUGUAUAUGAUGGGUCACCUAAGGCUGAAACGACAGACUGCAGAGUCUGCCGGAUAUACACAAACUGGCACUGUGCUCACCUGAAAAUAGGCAGCUUUAUAAAAAAAAUACAAAAAAACUCCUGAAACUACGUUGAUUGAAACUAAACUGGUCAAAUUGAGUAAUGAUUUAUGCAUAUGGAAAAAGGACUAAACUUAUACACUGCUCACAUGCUGCACAAACUACACCACGAAUUCAGUAGAACAUAUGCUAAAAAGAGGCUAAUAUGCAUCAUUUGUCGAGAACACCACAUGCUGCGCACAGAACUGAUGUCUAUCUCAGAAAAUUACUUGAAGCAACCACAACAUUAUAGCUCAGGUAGAUAUUCAGAAUAUGUUCCAGCCAUAUUAAAGACUCGGUAAUAUUACACUAGGACAGGCCAUGCUAGCGUUUAGGCCAUAGUAUUACAGUUUAGAGUCAUUUUUUCCAUCUACAGAACAAGCAUUUCCCUCUUCUGACUGAGUAUGUUUCUUUUUUAGUGCAGGUCUUUUCAUUGCGCCCUCUCCCCAUCAACUGCAACUCUUCUGGCUCUAACCUAUUUUUUGUCUGCCUCCUAACUCCACAGCAGGACAAGGAUCAGGUGUCACACAAAACAAGGGGGUUGCCUUCAUCCGUGAGCCGUCACUGACACCAGAGAGUCACAAAGUUUUGUCUAGCGCCAAGGUUCGCUGUUGUACUCAAUGGAAAAAAUAGCUACUUACAGUAUAGAGCAAUGUUCUCCUUCUGUAUACACUAAGAAAUAAGCCCUAGAUAUGUCUUUUCGUUGCAGUGUGAUUUACAGACAGCCCCACAUCAGGGAGCCAAUCUGCUGCUAGGAACAGAGAUUAUCACUUCUCCGCCUAACGUGCAGACGCCAUCAGGAGCUGCUUACAGUGUGCUAGAUGGGUCUACAAACAAGACUCUGUGGGGGAUAGAUAUCCCCCGGGUCCACUAAAGGAGUAAAAGACCUCACGAAAGGCCCAAGGGCCCAACAAAUCGUAAGGUCAUUCUUUCGUGGGCCUGGGGAGAAACAACCAACAAAGCAGAGCGACGUGAAACCGGAUUGGUGCAAACCCGGACGGCCCACAACGUCGAGCGAGUGAAUCGCAACAGAGACCCGACUUUCCCGCGCUGAAGCCCCCAUGCAACGGAGCCAUGCGAGGAUAAGUCGGCGAGGGUUACGUAGGGAUAAACUCAAGAGGUUCACUACCUUUUAGCUACUUGUUGUUAUCAUAUCCACGUGUACUGCCCCACGGUCGAGUAUAUAAGGCCUAGGGGGCACCCCUUCAGAACGAUCGACCCUAUCUUACUUAGCCACCCAUAUCAACUCUCUGUGUCUUCGAUCCGGAGAGCCCUCUUGUAACCACGCUCACCAAGCAUACUCACCAGGACAUAGGGUGUUACGCAUCUCUAAGCGGCCCGAACCUGUAAAUCUUGUCCACUGUCCCUCAUGCGAUCGGCACGAACCAUUUUGCUACAGUUGUCGAUAUCGUCCUACUCCUAGAAACACCUUGAGGGGCAACCCCGGGUGUGCGGUCGGACCCAAAACACCGACAGCUGGCGCGCCAGGUAGGGGGUGUGUCGACGAUCCAAGCUAGCUCAAUGGCCGUCACCUUCUACAGCAAGAUCACCAUGCGUCCCGGAUCCGUAUUCUGCUUCGGGACAAUCUCAUCUGUAGCGGAUGAAGAGGGAAUUCUACAUCGUAUCGCGGAUCCGCCGGAAAGGAAGUCUCCUCCAACGAACUCCGAAAAUGCCGGAGAGGCGCAACCUCCAGCUCUUCGGAAGAAGAUCGUCUCCGGAAAGUCGGGGGCCGAGGGCUCGCUGACCCGGAAGACUCCGCUGUCUACUUCCCCGACAAAAGAAUGGACACGGAUCGCGAGGAAGAAGGAGACCAGGGAAAAGCAAGUCGUUCUUUCCAUUCCUCCGGCCUCAAAGGAGAACGGAAAGAAAUUCGCCACGACAGCAACACCAUUCUACCCCGACGUCCUCUUCAUCGGGAGAGUGGAGUCGCCCACCGUCUCCGACGACGAACCGACCGCGCCCGGAGAGGAACCGCCUCAAUGAGAAUCCCGCCGACGGAGGAAUCGGCGCAGGAACGUUCGACGACAUCACGCGGCCGGAGAACGGGAUCCGGAGCAGCUUGUCUCGCGAGACGAGGUCUCGGAGAUAGGAGAAACUCCGGAAGAACGCGUCUUCAGAGAACGAAGGAACUCCCAACGACGUGAUUGCCGAUGGGCUCAGGAACAAGCUGAGCAAGACGCAAGACAACGCCGGGAGAAUCCGCUCUUCGGGCGCAACCUGAAUCCUGACUUCGCCCGAGCUAUGAACACGCCAAGCGAAGUCGGAGGAGUACUAGCUCGGAUAGCUGAUGGACUUCCUCGGACUCCCGACGCCGAGGGAUACCGACGCCUGUUCACCCAGGCAGCCAACCAUCUUCUACCGCUCGCUCACCCACCGAACGAUCUACGACACGCCAUCAACAGUCGCCGAGACGCGCGAAGCUCCAUCAAUGCUUCGCGCGAACGGCGGCAUGAGAACGAGAUUUGCUGUCGGGAGGAGUACGACCGGGAUCAUGGCAUCCCGACUCAGAGCCAGGCUACCAGGACUGAGUCGGCAACGGCCUCAACUGGCGGUACCACUCGGGGACGGUAGAGGAACCACAAUCACAACUCCCCUCCCCGGGACAGACAUCGUCCCCGACGACAGGAGGACACGUGCGGAGUGUCCGCUCUUACUCCGCGCCUUAGGGCCAUCCAAUGGCCUCCCAACUUCAAGGUAUCCAAUGUCGACAAAUAUGAACCUAAGCAGGAUCCAGGGGGUUGGCUAGCCGUCUACACCACCGCUGCUCGAGCUGCCGGGGCAUCUGAGGACGUUAUGACCGCAUAUUUGCCCAUCGUCCUUGGGCAAGAUGCGCUGCAGUGGCUACGACAUCUACCCCGACACUGCAUCGACGACUGGGGAGACUUCAGUCGACGUUUCACUGCCAACUUCCAGUCCCUCUCCGACAAGCCAGCGCAACCGUGGGACCUCAAAUCCAUCAAGCGCCGGGGGGAUGAGACUCUCCGGUCGUACCUCAAAAGGUUCCAGACCAUGAGAAAUCGCAUCCCCGAGGUCACGGAGGCGGCCGUGAUCGAGGACUUCUACAGAGGAUCCAACGACUCGGCUUUUGUCCGAGCCAUACUACAGAAAGCGCCGACUACUUCCGAGGAGCUGUUCCGGGAAGCCGACCUCUACAUCACCACCGACGAGCGAGCUCAGGACCUCAUCGGAGGAGCAAAGCCUGCACCGGCAGCACCACGACGCGACGCGAACCAGCCACCCGACAAACGCUGGGAGAAGAGGCCUCGCGAAGAAGUACACGCCGCCGGACCACCUGCCUCUCGCGCCCGAGGAGGACCUCGCGGAGGCGAGCGCACGUUGGACGACAUCCUCGACGCCCAGUGCCCAUACCACAAGGACAUGCGCCACACUCUUCGCAACUGCCGGGACUUCAAGCACUCUGUUGGGCAUGGCCGACCCUUCCAACCUCUACCUCCUCCUCCGCCGAGGGGAGGACCGGAUGAACCACGACAACCUCAUCAGCCGGAGGAGGGAGGAGGAGGAGUUUUCCCACGCGUCGACAGGGAGGUCAACGUCAUCUUCGGCGGACAUGGGUUGCAGGAGAACAAGAGACAACAAAAGCUCAACGACCGCCAGAUACUGGUGGCGACCACCGGUCCUCCCGCCCCAUACCGGUGGUCAGAACACCCGAUCACCUUCACUCGGGAGGAUCAAUGGCUCAACUUCGACCAUCCGGGCAAAUAUCCGCUCCUCGUCGAUCCGGUGAUCCGAGAGAGCCGGGUGAAGAAGGUGCUAGUGGACGGGGGGAGCAGCAUCAACGUCACCUUCCCCGGACACUCCAAGGCUUGGGGGCUCACCUCAAAGAGCUCCACAAGUCGGACACUCCUUUCUUCGGCAUCAUGCCGACGGAGGGGGAAUACCCGCUGGGCCACAUCUACAUGUCGGUCACCUUCGGAACUCCGGAGAACUACAGAACCGAGUUCCUGAGGUUUGAAGUGGCGAACUUCGACUGCGGGUACAACGCCAUCAUCGGAAGGCCAGGAUUGGCCAAAUUCAUGGCCAUUCCGCACUAUACAUACAUGAUACUGAAGAUGCCAGGACCGCAAGGGAUCAUAACUGUGCGCACCGACUUCCAAGGCGCCGCAGAAUGUUUCCGAGUGGCCAUCCAAGCAGCCCUCACCACCAAACCGUCAACGGUCCCUUCUACACUGGCGAACUCUAAGCCUGAGGAGGACCUCGCAGUACCGGCAAACGAAGCUCAGGCCGCGACCUCUAUGCGGCCGACUGAAGAAACCAAGCGAAUCAACCUGGGGUUCGCUGAUGAGCGCAAGACAACCAUCAUCAGCUCCAGCUUGGACGACAAAUAGGAAAGCGCGCUCGUCCAGUUCCUGCAAGAUAACCGAGAUGUAUUCGCAUGGCAACCUGCGGAUAUGCCGGGAGUCCCAAGAGAACUGGCCGAGCACAAGUUGAAGGUUUAUCCCCAGGCGAGACCGAUCCGGCAAAAGCUACGUCGUUUCACGCCCGACAAGAGAGAGGCCAUUCGCGCCGAGUUAGCUCGCUUGGUUGCGGCUGGAUUUAUUAGAGAAGUAUUACACCUCGAGUGGUUAGCCAACCCUGUUCUUGUACUCAAAAAGAAUAAAGUGGAUUGGCGCAUGUGCGUCGACUAUACUGAUCUCAACAAACACUGUCCGAAGGAUCCCUUCGGGCUCCCGAGGAUAGAUCAGGUGGUGGACUCUACCACUGGAUGUUAUGUGCUAUCUUUCUUAGAUUGCUAUUCCGGGUAUCAUCAGAUUAGUUUGGCAAAAGAAGACGAGGAAAAAACGGCGUUCAUCACUCCGUUUGGUGCUUUCUGUUAUACCUCCAUGCCGUUCGGCCUCAAAAACGCUGGAGCGACUUAUCAGAGAGCCAUUCAAACAUGCUUAGUCGAUCACUGGGGCAAGCGUGUGGAGGCUUACGUAGAUGAUGUGGUAAUCAAAACAGAGAAUUCGGAAAACUUCAUCGAAGACUUACAGCUGGUUUUCAACAGCCUGAGACGAUAUAGAUGGAAGCUCAAUCCCAAAAAAUAUGUUUUCGGGGUACCAGCAGGAAAGUUGCUCGGGUUUAUCGUCAGCCACCGGGGAAUUGAGGCUAAUCCAGAUAAGAUUGAAGCUAUCAUGAAGAUGGAAGCUCCUCGGUCACAAAAGAAGGUUCAGCGACUUACUGGAUGCAUGGCGGCUCUGAGCAGAUUUAUAUCCAGGCUGGGAGAAAGAGGUUUGCCAUUUUACAAACUACUCAAGAAGGUGGAUAAGUUUCAAUGGACUUCAGAAGCACAAGAAGCUCUAGAUGCACUGAAGAAAUUCUUGACAACACCACCAGUACUGAAACCACCCCGGCGAGCUACGUCGACUCAACCGGCUGAAGAUUUGCUACUGUAUAUCUCUUGCACGACUCACGUGGUAAGCACCGCGUUGGUAGUCGAGCGAGUAGAAGAAGGACAUGCCUAUCCAGUACAACAUCAUGUUUACUUCAUCAGUGAAGUUCUAGGCCCCUCGAAGAAAAAGUAUCCUCAGGUUCAGAAGCUAUUAUACGCAGUACUUCUAACUGCCCGCAAGCUGCGUCACUACUUUGACGACCACAAAGUCAUAGUAGUCACUGGUUUUCCAAUAGGGGAUAUUCUUCACAACAAGGAAGCCAUUGGCCGAAUAGCCAAGUGGGCUUGCGAGCUGGGAUCCCACGACAUCGAGUUCCGACCUCGCACUGCCAUCAAAACUCAAGCACUGGUUGAUUUCGUAUCAGAGUGGACAGAACAACAAGUACCGGAUAAUCCAGAAACUGCAGAAGUAUGGCGAAUGUAUUUUGAUGGCUCGCUGAAGCUGCAGGGAGAAGAAGCAGGGAUUCUCUUCACCGCACCUGGAGGCGAACACCUCAAGUACACCCUCCAGUUGCUAUUCCCGGCCUCUAACAAUGCAGCCGAGUAUGAAGCUUUGAUACACGGAUUAAACAUCGCCAUAUCACUGGGCGUCGAGAGAUUGAUGGUAUACGGAGAUUCUCUGGUAGUCAUCAGCCAGAUAAACAAGGAAUGGGAUUGUUCAAGCGAUUCGAUGGGAAAAUACUGCGCUGCCGUCCGAAAGCUGGAAGAUAAAUUCGAGGGUCUGGAAUUUCAUCAUAUAGAAAGAGAUCGGAACACAGCAGCCGAUGUACUGUCCAAGCUCGGAUCCAGUCGAACUCAGGUCCCACCCGGAGUCUUCGUGCAAGAAAUUCUGCAGCCAAGUAUCUCAAUGGAUCAAACAGAAGAGUGCAACAUCAUAGAUCAACCCGAGUCAGACUCUGAUGACUGGAGAAGGCUGAUUAUUAAGUAUAUAAAGAAUGAAGAAGAACCAGACGACAAGAACUCGGCAGAGCGCAUUGCCAGGCAGUCGGCUCACUAUACACUCAUUGUGGAGAUAUUGUACAGAAGGGGCGCAUCAGGCAUCCUCAUGAAAUGCGUUCUCCCGUCCACUGGGAAGCAACUUCUGGAGGAGGUCCAUGCAGGGCAAUGUGGAAUACAUGCAGCAUCCAGAACACUAGUCGGGAAGGUUUUCAGGUCAGGAUUCUAUUGGCCGACAGCGAAGAACGAUGCAGCCGAGUUAGUUCAGAGGUGCGAAGCUUGCCAAUACUUGUCAAAGCAACAGCGCAUGCCAGCACAGCAACUACAGACCAUACCAGUAACCUGGCCUUUCGCAUGCUGGGGACUGGAUAUGAUUGGACCUUUCAAGAAAGCUCAAGGGGGAUAUACUCAUGUAUUGGUGGCGAUUGACAAAUUCACUAAAUGGAUAGAGUUCAAGCCCAUUGCUUCUUUAACCUCUGCUAAGGCCGUGGAAUUCAUACAAGACAUAAUAUUCAGGUUCGGGAUACCGAACAGCAUCAUCACUGACUUAGGAUCCAACUUCACCAGUUCAGAAUUCUUCGACUUCUGCGAGCAAAAGAGCAUUCAGAUCAAGUACGCAUCUGUAGCACAUCCAAGAGCCAACGGGCAGGUUGAGCGAGCCAACGGAAUGAUAUUGGAGGCACUCAGGAAAAAGGUCUUCGAUAAGAAUGAAAAAUUUGCAGGAAAGUGGAUAAGAGAAUUGCCUUAUGUUGUUUGGAGCCUAAGAACCCAACCUAGCCGAGCCCUGCAUGGAAACACUCCUUUCUUCAUGGUCUAUGGGUCGGAGGCAGUGCUACCUGCUGAUCUCAAGUUUGGGGCGCCAAGGUUGAUCUUCGAAAGCAUAGCAGAAGCUGAGGCCACCAGGCUGGAGGACAUUAAUGUACUUGAGGAAGAACGGCUGAAUGCGGUAAUCCAAUCAGCACGGUACCAGCAGACUCUAAGGCGCUAUCACGACAAGGCUGUGAGGCAACGGUUCUUUUCAGUAGGAGACCUCGUCCUCCGCCGAAUUCUAACGGGGGAGGGACGACACAAGUUAUCACCCUUAUGGGAAGGACCCUUCAUAGUAGCAGAAGUCACUCGACCCGGAUCGUAUCGCCUCACUCAGAUGGAUGGCACAGAAGUUGGGAACUCCUGGAACAUAGAGCACCUCAGAAAGUUUUAUCCCUAGCUGUAUUUCAAAACUGCUAGGGCGACAAUGUAUUCUGUAAAGUGGAAAUAUGUCAUCAAUAAAGAGAGAUUUCAAAGAUACUCAGCUCGUUUACGAUUGACUUGCAUUCCUACUUAACUCGGGGUGACCACUAUGCCCUACAAAUGGAGCAAUCGACUUAAGUCGGCAACGACUUAAGGCGGUGCAACAUGCUCACGCUUACUUAACUCGGGGUGACCACUAUGCCCUACAAACGGAGCAAUCGACUUAAGUCGGCAACGACUUAAGGCGGUGCAACAUGCUCACGCUUACUUAACUCGGGGUGACCACUAUGCCCUACAAACGGAGCAAUCAACUUAAGUCGGCAACGACUUAAGGCGGUGCAACAUGUUCACGCUUACUUAACUCGGGGUGACCACUAUGCCCUACAAACGGAGCAAUCGACUUAAGUCGGAUCGUUGCAACAUGCUCACGCUUACUUAACUCGGGGUGACCACUAUGCCCUACAAACGGAGCAAUCGACUUAAGUCGGCAACGACUUAAGGCGGUGCAACAUGCUCACGCUUACUUAACUCGGGGUAACCACUAUGCCCUACAAACGGAGCAAUCGACUUAAGUCGGCAACGACUUAAGGCGGUGCAACAUGCUCACGCUUACUUAACUCGGGGUAACCACUAUGCCCUACUAACGGAGCAAUCGACUUAUGUCGGCAACGACUUAAGGCGGUGCAACAUGCUCACGCUUACUUAACUUGGGGUGACCACUAUGCCCUACAAAUGGAGCAAUCGACUUAAGUCGGCAACGACUUAAGGCGGUGCAACAUGCUCACGCUUACUUAACUCGGGGUGACCACUAUGCCCUACAAACGGAGCAAUCGGUUUAAGUCGGCAACGACUUAAGGCGGUGCAACAUGCUCACGCUUACCUAACUCGGGGUGACCACUAUACCCUACUAACAGAGCAAUCGGCUAAAGUCAGUGGCGACUUAAGCCGGUGCAACAUACUCGCGCCUAUGUAAUUCAGGGGGUGACUUCCAUAUCCCGCAAACAAAUUUCAUAAUCAUCAUGCGUCAUUUCAUUACUGCAAAUUUAUGAACCAAUAAAUUCUGAUACAAUAAGAGAGUAAUUAUGUCAUUCGAAUGAUAAACUGAUGUCCUCUAACAAAUACUCGAUCAUGCUAACCGCGCGCUCAGAGCACGCAGAAUGUUUCUCUAUUUCACAAAGUCUUUCUCAGGAGCGACCGACGAAGAAGGGCGACUCGAGGAAUCAGGGGCAGCAUUCACGUCAGCCUUUAUGUCUUCAGGAACAACCACGCCGGGUCUCCUCAUUAAGAUUCGUCCCGCCCGAAUAGCCUUGUCCAUGGCUUUAUCGCGCUGGGCUUUGAGAGUAGCAGCAGUUUCUUCGGCAACUUUAGCAGCCAGCCGAGCAGCCUCUAACUCCUGGGCAAUGGAUUUCUUGGAAGCUCGGAGUUCUUUGAUGGUGGCAUCCUUUGCUGAUAUCAAUUGCUUAAGGCGGGUCACUUCGUCCGCAGAUUCUUGCAGUUUACAACGUUGAUUGUCCAGUUCCUCCAUUGUAAAACGAUGACUCCUCUCCAAGAUUGACAGCGAGUUGCUAGAAUCAUGAUACAAUCUGUCAAGAUUGUCACGAGAAGCAGCAAGGAUACGCUUUUCUUCCUGCAAACAAAAAUCAACUCCUUCAGAAACCAAGCAAGUAAUAGGAACAUAGCAAGGCAAGGCACAGUUUUGUAAGUUACCUUUUCAGAGUCAAGCCGAGCAUGAAGAGAAGAACUUAGGGCAUUGGCGUCAUCCAAGGCAGCGGAAACCUGAUUUAGUUCAGUUUGGCUCUGAGAGUACUUCUCCUCGAAGUCAGCGCACCGUUGAACCAUUUCAGCCUGAUCUCGGGAAUGUUUUUCCUCAAGAAUUGCAAUCUGCCGAGUCAUUCCUAGCAAGAGGUAAUCAAGCAAAACGAGGUCAGAAGGUAAAAUAGUCCACAAAGGCGAAGAGAAGAAAAAGGGCACUAACCAGCGUUAGUUGCCUCCAACUCGGAUACACGACGAUGAAGUGACACUGGAUUCCAACACGCAAGAGACGAAGCCGCUUCUGGGACGGAAGCACCUUGCAAUCUCAACUGGCUGGCCAUCCCAUCCACCAAAGCCUGAUGAGAAGAACAGAUGAACAUAAUGACAAAAGUUCAUGCAAUGUAAAGAUCAAGCUAAAAUACAGCACAGUACCUGGAGGUUGGAAAAGAACGAAGGGAUCCCCAAAUCAGGAGAAAUCAGCUGAUAACCAGGCGCCAGGCCACCACCCGAAGCAGCUUCCAACGGACCAGUAGGAAUCAGCUCAGUGCCUUCAACAGAGCCAAACGCCCGAUCAGCGGGGACGCUGCCCUCUAAAGUGACUCCCUGGUCCAAAGUUUGGGCUACCACCAUGCAGCCAGAGUGUGGAGGUGAUCCCGCGUGAACGUCCAUGGAAGUGCAGGAAGGAGACCCUGCUUGGGCACCCUCGGGGGCUGGGUCAUAGUUGGCACUGCCCACUUGAGCCGGAUCAUCCCCGACAGCACCCUCGGGGGCUGGGCAGUGGCUUACACUCUUCACCCGAGCUAAGUCAUCCCCGGCGACAUCCUCGGGGGCUGGGCAUGUGUCAGCACCAUCCUUGAGGUCCAGGCUCUCCGCAGUAACCACCUCUAAGGUUGACGGGCCUUCAGCCACUUCCAUGGGACCAGGACAAUCCAAGUCAGCAUCCCGACCCUCAAGAUCACGCUCUAAGGUCGACGAGGCACGGGAUGACCUCAACCCAGCAUCAGGCACGGCAGCGCAAGCCUCCGUCGCAUCAUCAUCCACUGGCUCUGAUAACAAGUCCUCUGGGACCAUAUCCUCAAGAGUUUGAUCAAAGUUGGCCAGGGACAGUUCUUGCAGACCAAUGAGGGCAGACAAAGCAGGAGAAGGAACUCCACUACUUUCACCGCUGGCGAUGAACUGCCGACUGUUUUUCCGAGUUAAAGGAGCCUCAUUUUCUUCCUUCUCAUCUUCCAUAGUGACAACACAAGCAACACCCCCAUUGGGGUCAGCAACAGAUGGAGCACCCACAUUGGGAUCAGUAGUAGUUUGGGUACACCCAUUGGGGUCAGCGUCAGUAAGUCCAGUCGCAGGCACUUCUUCAGUAGCAUGAACUGAGGUACCAGCGUCUUCAUCAAAACUGGAUACUCGCUGGAGGCGUCUUCUUUUCUUCUUUUGCUCAUCAGCAGAAGGCUCAGGCUGAUUGGUUCGGCUAGGGCGCCUCGGGCGAGUACUGACAGGUUUCUGGACAUCCAAAGUUGUAUCAACCUCUGGAAGGGGCACCACUGCCAACGUACCAGCAGGAGCAGCGUCGGAGGAAUCCUCAGCUAGCAGAUCAAGCAUGGCAUUUAUAUCGGCAUCACUAGGGUUCAGGGGCACCUCAAAAUGGACCUGUCGUUCGUCAUCAGGAAUCUUCCCAAGCGAAGCAACCAAAGUACUGACUUCUUCAGUAGAGGGUCGCACUCUAAGGCCCAAAUUGCCAUCAGUCACAGGUGGAUUUGACACAAAAAGGGUGAAGGCUUUGGGAGGAGGCAGGUUCCAGGCUGAGUAUGCCACUGGAGCACCAGCAUUUGACACCUUACCCCUAAGGAUCAUUUCAAGUCGGCUUACCAAGUCUACAGAAGGAAUUCUCCUGUUAGUAACCCGAGUUGAGUCGGCUAGCCCUCGAUACAGAUAUGCUGGAUAGGCCCUGUCUUUCAGUGGCUGAAUGUUCUUGAAAACAAAGUCGGCAACCACAGCUUCAGCAGUUAGACCUCUCUCUUUCAGCAGUCCAACUUCAGUUAGCAACACACCUGCCUCAGCCACUUCCUGAUCUGUGGGAGACUCGGUCCAGCUCGGAGUGCGAACGUCUGGCUGUCUUCCCGACCGGGAGGGGAGAGAAUUUCCAUAAUUAUCAACUAUGAACCACUCUAGACGCCACCCCUUAAUACUGUCCUUGAGGGGAAUCUCAAGAUACUCAGUUUUCCGCCCGCGACGCAUCUCCAAACUGGCACCUCCGACCAACUGAUGUUGUCCCCCGGCCAUCCCAGGGCGACAAUGAUACAAAUACUUCCAUAAACCGAAAUGCGGCAGCACACCAAGAAAGGCUUCACAUAGGUGAACGAAAAUGGAGAUUUGCAGAAUGGAAUUAGGGUUCAAAUGGGUCAAGUUAAUGUGGUAGAAAUCAAGGAGGCCACGGAAAAAGGGAGAGAUGGGAAGGCCGAGGCCGCGAAGAAGAAAAGGAGUGUAAACUACAGACUCGUGGAUAUCCUCUGUCGGGACAGUAGUCCCGUGGCAAAUCCGCCAAGAACAGAGUUCCCGCGGAGGAAGAACCCCGAUGGAUACGAGGUGGAGAAGUUCAGCUUCGGAAAUGAUGGACAUAUGGUUACCUGCGAAAGGCAACUGGCUGUUGGGGUCGAUCAGAGGGAUCACCGCAGCAGACGAGCUCGCAGUCUUCCUCUUGGGCGCCAUCUCGAUUUCACCAGCGAGCAGAGUAGGAGGCGAAUGGCAGAGAGGAUUCGGAAGCGGGAAUGCAAGAACUAGGGCACGGAAAGCAAAGGCGGCUAAAAGCGCAGCUCUUAUGGGAUAUUCUCGAGCCAGAUACUGUUUCAAAAAGUGCCCAGUCAUCACCCGGCGGUUAUUUCCAAAACCCCAGCACGCCACGUGGUCAUCCGGCAGUUAUUUCCAAAAAGCCGAUGCGCCACCUCAUCACUCGGUUAUCAUCCUCAAAAUAACUCAUGCGGCCUGCUAUCACUCGGCGUUGACUCUAAAACGCUGAUUUCAUAUUCCGUCGCUCGGCAUUACCUCUAAAAUGCCGACGUCACCAUCCAGUCACUCGGCGUUGACUCUAAAACGCUGAUUUCAUAUUCAGUCACUCGGCACUACUUCUAAAAUGCCGACGUCGACCUUCAAUCACUCGGCGUUGCCUCUAAAACGCUGAUCUCGUGUUCAAUCGCUCGGUAUUACUUCUAAAAUGCCGACGGCGACCUUCAAUCACUCGGCGUUGCCUCUAAAACGCUGAUAUAGCGUUCAGUCGCUCGACAUUACUUCUAAAAUGUCGACGUCGACCUUCAAUCGCUCGGCACUACUUCUAAAAUGCCAACGUCGACCUUCAAUCACUCGGCGUUGCCUCUAAAACGUUGAUCUCGUGUUCAAUCGCUAGGCAUUACUUCUAAAAUGCUGACGUCGACCUUCAAUCACUCGGCAUUGCCUCUAAGACGCUGAUAUAGCGUUCAGUCGCUCGGCAUUACUUCUAAAACGUCGACGCAGACUACAAGAUUACUCGGCAGCUACUUCUGGAAGCGUCAGUGUGAUGCCCAAGUUAUUCAUCUACUGUCUCGAAAUAACCAGUUUUAUAAUCAAGCAAAGCGAGUCAUCAAGAAGAAGCCAACGUCAUUCUUUCAUUAAGGGAAGACAAUGAGCUUACAAAUCAACUCUUCGCGAGUUGAUGCUUCCCUACUAUUACUACAUUACAUUACUACUACUACUAUACUACGCUAUACUACUCUACAUUACUACUACAUUAUUCUAACUACACUAUACUAAUAUCUAAAGACCAGUGGCGUUUAGCCACUGGCCUUGCUGCUGCUGCCACCACCGCCGCCUCUGGUGCUGCCCUUGCUCUCGUCGCCGCCGCCGCUGCCCCCGCUGCUGCCGUCACCGUCGCCGUCGCCACCGUCGUCGCCGUCGUCGUCGUCGUCCUCGUCCUCGCCGCCGUCCGAGUCCUCCUCAUCCGAGGAGUACUCCGACUCAUCCGAGCCCUCGAGCCCGGAGCGCUCGACGACCCGGAUGUACGUCCAGACUUCCGCGGCAAUCCCCUGGGAGUCGUCUGAAUCAUCAGACGACGCCGGGGGAGAGACGGGAGCCGGAGACCCCUCGGACUCGAAGGAGAACUCCUCCUCCGAGUAUUCCGAGUCGCCGAAGUCCUCUGACGGAGGAGUCGGCUCGCGCUUGCGUUUGUUACUCUUGCCCAUGGCGGAAGCAGACGGGAGAGAAGAGAAGGGUGCAGUAAAGAACAGCGAAGAGAUGUGAAAAAACUAGAGGGGCAACAACGUUAUUUAUAGAAGGGAAAGGCAACCGCUCACCUCCAACCGUGGUCACUGAACAGUCGCAAAGCAUUCAAUAAGCACUUCCACCCGUCUGGAGACACGUCAGGCGGUUGACGCCGUUUCAUGCAACACUACACCCAUUGGGACUCCAGUCAACAGCGCAAAGGAUAUGAUUACACUCGCCGUCCCAUCACAUUACUACUCAGAAGCAGCCGGCUAAAACACUCAGCGUACCAAGCCGUCCCUUGCCCACACCCAUUGGGGGGACGCCCAGGAAUUAUCAGUAUAUUUUUCAAAACGGUCACAUCUGUGCAGGGCACGCAGUGAAUACCUCAAGACAAAAAUGAGAUAUCAGUAAGGAUCAGAGGAAAGCCAAAUAUAGCCAGCAAAGUACAAGAUAUGGCCGACAGAAGCGACGUGAAGACUAGACAGAGAACGUCCAUCAAACGUCUAAUCAAUCGCAGAAGCAAAUAAAUUGCACACCUAGCAAGAUAUGGAUGGAUUGCAAACUCGGCUGCUAAAGACAAAAUAUAUGUUGACCUCUGCAGCAAAAUAUUGAUGACAUAAUGCUGUCCUCCAAAGCAUAAUGCAAAUAGCUUCAUGCCAUUUUUUUACAAACGAAAGGGAUAAUUUUCAGCAAAGAGGCACGAAAGGAAGACCUUCGAAUGGAUUAUCCUUAAAAAAAUCCAUUUGAAGGUCGGGGGCUACACCCAUUGGGUGCACCUCCGGUGCACCCCAUGGAUUAUCAUUCCAAGCCGAGAUAGUGCCGACUUCUAAGGCGUGGGACAAGAUUAAAAGACCAACCCUCAACCAAGAUGCAGGAGCACAAAUGGAGAUAAUUUCUGGGGAAGACCUUCGAGUAGAUUAUUUUCUAAAAUCUACUCAAAGCUCGGGGGCUACACCCAUUGGGUGCGGUGCACCCAAUGAAGUUCAAAAUCCUACAAAUUGAAAUGCCGACCUCUAAGGCACAAGCAUGAAACUAAACUUCGGUCAAAUGAGUGAUCGAAGCAAGAGAAGACAGCAGGAAGUCAUUUUUCUUCAAAAACACCCGCAAGUUGGACCUGGGAUCUUUGGGCUGAUUACCUCUAAAUUAACCCAAAGAUCGGGGGCUUGUGGGGGAUAGAUAUCCCCCGGGUCCACUAAAGGAGUAAAAGACCUCACGAAAGUCCCAAGGGCCCAACAAAUCGUAAGGUCAUUCUUUCGGGGGCUGUGGGGGAUAGAUAUCCCCUGGGUCCACUAAAGAAGUAAAAGGCCUCACGAAAGGCCCAAGGGCCCAAUAAUUCGUAAGGUCAUGCUUUCGUGGGCCUAGGGAAAGACAACCAACAAAGAAAAGAAGACGUGAGACUGAUUAGUGCAAACCCAGACGGCCCACAACGUCGAACGAAUGAAUCGCAACAAAGACCCGACUUUCCCGCGCUGAAGCCCCCAUGCAACAGAGCCAUGCGAGGAUAAGUCGGCAAGGGUUACGUAAGGAUAAACUCAAGAGGUUCACUAUCUUUUAGCUACUUGUUGUUAUCAUAUCACAUGUACUGCCCCACGGUCGAGUAUAUAAGGCCUAGGGGGCAUCCCUUCAGAUCGAUCGACCCUGUUCUACUUAGCCACCCACAUAAACUCUCUGCGCCCUCUAUCCAGAGAACCCUCUUGUAACCACGCUCAUAUACUCACCAGGACGUAGGGUGUUACGCAUUUCUAAGCGGCCCGAACCUGCAAAUCUUGUCCAUUGUCCCUCGUGCGAUUGGCACGAACCAUUUUGCUACAGUCGUUGACACCGUCCUACUCCUAAAAACACCUUGAGGGGCAACCCCGGGUGUGAGGUCGGACCAAAAACACCGACAGCUGGCGCGCCAGGUAGGCGGUGUGUCGACGAUCCAAGCUAGCUCAAUGGCCGUCACCUUUCACAGCAAGAUCGCCGUGCGUCCCGGAUCUGUAUUCUGCUUCGGGACAAUCUCAUCCGUAGCGGACGAAAAGGGAAUUCUACACCGCCUCGCAGAUCUGCCGGAACAGAAGUCUCCUCCAACAAACUCCGAAAAUGCUGGAAGGACGCUACCUCCGGCUCUUCGGAAAAAGAUCGUCUCCGGGGAGGCUGGAGCUAGAAGCUCGCUGACCCGGAAGACUCCGCUAUCUACUUCUCCGACGAAAGAAUGGACACGGGUCGUGAGAAAGAAGGAGACCAGGGAGAGGCAAGUCGUUCUUCCCGUUCCUCCGACCUCAAAGGAGAACGGAAAGAAAGUCGCCGCGGCAGCAAUACCGUUCUACCCCGACGUCCUCUUCAUCGGGAGAGCAGAGUCGCCCGCCGUCUCCGACGAUGAACCAACCGUGCCUGGAGAAGAACCGCCUCAGCGGGAAUCCCGCCGAUGAAGGAACCGACGCAGGAACGUUCGACGACAUCACGCAGCUGGAGAACGGGAUCCGGAGCAGCCUGUCUCGCGAGACGAGGUCUCAGAGAUAGGAGAAACUCCGGAAGAACGCGUCUUCAGGGAACGAAGGAACUCCCGACGACGUGAUCGCCGUCGGACUCAGGAGCAAGCCGAGCAAGACGCAAGGCAACGACGCGAGAAUCCGCUCUUCGGGCGCAACUUGAACCCCGACUUCGCCCGAGCUAUGAACACGCCGAGCGAGGUCGGAGGCGUUCUAGCUCGGAUAGCUGACGGGCUUCCUCGGACUCCCGACGCCGAAGGAUACCGACGCAUGUUCACUCAGGCAGCCAACCAUCUUCUACCGCUCGCUCACCCGCCGAACGAUUUGCGACACGCCAUCAACAGUCGCCGAGACGCGCGAAGGUCUAUCAAUGCUUCGCGCGAACGGCGGCACGAGAACGAAAUUCGCCGUCGGGAGGAGUAUGACCGAGAUCAUGGCUUCCCGACUCAAAGCCAGGCCACCCGAACUGAGUCGGCAACAGCUUCAACUGGUGGUACCACCCGGGGACGGUCGAGGAACCGCCACCGCCACUCCCCUCCCCGGGACAGACGUCAUCCCCGACGGCAGGAGGACACGUGCGGAGUAUCCGCCCUUACUCCGCGCCUUAGGGCCAUCCAAUGGCCUCCCAACUUCAAGGUAUCCAAUGUCGACAAAUAUGAACCUAAGCAGGAUCCAGGGGGUUGGUUAGCCGUCUACACCACCGCUGCUCGGGCUGCCGGGGCAUCUGAAGACGUUAUGACCGCGUACCUGCCCAUCGUCCUUGGGCAAGAUGCGCUGCAGUGGCUACGACAUCUACCCCGACACUGCAUCGACGACUGGGGAGACUUCAGUCGACGCUUCACCGCCAACUUCCAGUCUCUCUCCGACAAGCCAGCGCAACCAUGGGACCUCAAAUCCAUCAAGCGCCGGGGAGACGAGACUCUCCGGUCAUACCUUAAAAGGUUCCAGACCAUGAGAAACCGCAUCCCCGAGGUCACGGAGGCGGCCGUGAUCGAAGACUUCUACAGAGGAUCUAACGACUCGGCUUUCGUCCGAGCCAUACUACAAAAGGCGCCGACUACUUCCGAGGAGCUGUUCCGGGAAGCCGACCUCUAUAUCACCGCCGACGAGCGGGCCCAGGACCUCAUCGGAGGAGCAAAACCCGCACCGACAGCACCACGACGCGACGCGAACCAGCCACCCGACAAACGCUGGGAGAAGAGGCCUCGCGAAGAAGUACACGCCGCCGGACCGCCUGCCUCUCGCGCCCGAGGAGGACCUCGCGGAGGCGAGCGCACGCUGGACGACAUCCUCGACGCCCAGUGCCCGUACCACAAGGACAUGCGCCAUACUCUACGUAACUGCUGGGACUUCAAGCACUCCGUCGGACAUGGUCGACCCUUCCAACCCCUACCGCCUCCUCCGCCGAGGGGAGGACCAGGUGAACCACGACAGCCCCAUCAGCCGGAGGAGGGGGGAGGAGGAGCUUUCCCGCGCGUUGACAGGGAGGUCAACGUCAUCUUCGGCGGACAUGGGUCGCAGGAGAACAAAAGACAACAAAAGCUCAACAACCGCCAGAUACUGGUGGCGACCACCGGCCCUCCCGCCCCGUACCGGUGGUCGGAGCACCCAAUCAUUUUCACUCGGGAGGAUCAAUGGCUCAACUUUGACCAUCCAGGCAAAUACCCGCUCCUCGUCGAUUCGGUGAUCCGAGAGAGCCGGGUAAAGAAGGUUCUAGUGGACGGGGGGAGCAGCAUCAACGUCACCUUCCCCCGUACGCUCCAAGGCUUGGGGGUUCACCUCAAAGAGCUCCAUGAGUCAGACACUCCUUUCUUCGGCAUCGUGCCGACGGAAGGGGAAUACCCGCUGGGCCACAUCUACAUGCCGGUCACCUUCGGGACUCCGGACAACUACAGAACCGAGUUCCUGAGGUUCGAGGUGGCGAAUUUCGACUGUGGUUACAACGCCAUCAUCGGAAGGCCGGGGCUAGCCAAAUUCAUGGCCAUCCCGCACUAUACCUACAUGAUACUGAAGAUGCCAGGACCGCAAGGAAUCAUAACUGUGCGCGCCGACUUCCAAGGCGCCGCAGAAUGUUUCCGAGUGGCCAUCCAAGCAGCCCUCACCACCAAGCCGUCAACGGUUCCUUCUACACCGGCGAACUCUAAGCCUGAGGAAGACCUCGCCGUGCCGGCAAACGAAGCUCAGGCCGCGACCUCUAUGCGGCCGACUGAAGAAACCAAGCGGAUCAACCUGGGGUUUGCCGAUGAGCGCAAGGCGGCCAUCAUCAGCUCCAGUUUGAAUGACAAACAGGAAAGCGCGCUCGUCCAGUUCCUGCAAGAUAACCGAGACGUAUUCGCAUGGCAACCUGCGGAUAUGCCGGGAGUCCCGAGGGAGUUGGCCGAGCACAAAUUGAAAGUCUAUCCUCAGGCGAGGCCGAUCCGGCAAAAACUGUGUCGUUUCACGCCCGACAAGAGAGAGGCCAUUCGUGCCGAGUUAGCUCGCUUGGUCGCGGCCGGAUUUAUUAGAGAAGUACUACACCCCGAGUGGUUAGCCAACCCUGUUCUUGUACUCAAAAAGAAUAAAGUGGAUUGGCGCAUGUGCGUCGACUAUACUGAUCUCAACAAACACUGUCCGAAGGAUCCCUUCGGGCUCCCGAGGAUAGAUCAGGUGGUGGAUUCCACCGCUGGAUGCUCUGUGCUGUCUUUCUUAGAUUGCUAUUCCGGGUAUCAUCAGAUUAGUUUGGCAAAAGAAGACGAGGAAAAAAUGGCGUAAAUCACCCCGUUUGGUGCUUUCUGUUAUACCUCCAUGUCGUUCGGCCUCAAAAACGCUGGAGCGACUUAUCAGAGAGCCAUUCAAACAUGCUUAGCCGAUCACUGGGGCAAGCGUGUGGAGGCUUACGUAGACGACGUGGUGAUUAAAAUGGAGGAUCCGGAAAACUUCAUCGAAGACUUACAGCUGGUUUUCAACAGCCUGAGAAGAUAUAGAUGGAAGCUCAAUCCUGAGAAAUGUGUCUUCGGGGUACCAGCAGGAAAGUUACUCGGAUUUAUUGUCAGCCACCGGGGAAUUGAGGCUAAUCCAGAUAAGAUUGAAGCUAUCAUGAAGAUGGAAGCCCCUCGGUCGCAAAAGAAGGUUCAGCGACUCACUGGAUGUAUGGCAGCCCUGAGCAGAUUCAUAUCCAGGCUGGGAGAAAAAGGUCUACCAUUUUACAAACUGCUCAAGAAGGUGGAUAAGUUUCAAUGGACGUCAGAAGCACAAGAAGCUCUAGAUGCACUGAAGAAAUUCCUGACAACACCACCAGUACUAAAGCCGCCCCGGCGAGCUACGCCGACUCAACCAGCUGAAGAUUUGCUGCUAUAUAUCUCUUGCACGACUCACGUGGUAAGCACUGCGUUGGUAGUCGAGCGAGUGGAAGAAGGGCAUGCCUAUCCGGUACAACAUCCUGUCUACUUCAUCAGUGAGGUUCUAGGUCCAUCGAAGAAAAAGUAUCCUCAAGUUCAGAAGCUAUUAUAUGCAGUACUUCUAACUGCUCGCAAGCUGCGCCACUACUUUGACGACCACAAAGUCAUAGUAGUCACUGGUUUUCCAAUAGGGGAUAUUCUUCACAACAAGGAAGCCAUUGGCCGAAUAGCCAAGUGGGCUUGCGAGUUGGGAUCCCAUGAUAUCGAGUUCCGACCUCGCACCGCCAUCAAAACUCAGGCACUGGUUGAUUUCGUAUCGGAGUGGACAGAACAGCAAGUACCGGAUAAUCCAGAAACUGCAGAAGUAUGGCGAAUGUAUUUUGACGGCUCGCUGAAACUGCAGGGAGCAGGAGCAGGAAUUCUUUUCACUGCACCUGGAGGCAAGCACCUCAAGUAUGCUCUCCAGCUGCUAUUCCCGGCCUCUAACAACGCAGCCGAGUAUGAAGCUUUGAUACACGGAUUGAACAUCGCCAUAUCACUGGGUGUCAAGAGACUGAUGGUGUAUGGAGACUCUCUGGUAGUCAUCAGUCAGAUAAACAAGGAAUGGGAUUGUUCAAGUGAUUCAAUGGGAAGAUACUGCACCGCCGUCCGAAAGCUAGAAGAUAAAUUCGAAGGUCUGGAGUUUCAUCAUAUAGAAAGGGAUCGGAACACGGCGGCCGAUGUACUGUCCAAGCUCGGAUCCGGUCGGACUCAGGUCCCGCCCGGGGUCUUCGUGCAAGAAAUUCUCCAGCCAAGCGUCUCGACGGAUCAAAUAGAAGAGUGCAACAUCAUAGAUCAACCCGAGUCAGACUCUGAUGACUGGAGGCAACCGAUUAUUAAGUAUAUAAAGAAUGAAGAAGAACCAGAUGACAAGAACUCGGCAGAGCGCAUUGCCAGACAAUCAGCUCACUAUACACUCAUUGGGGAGGUAUUAUACAGGAGGGGCGCGUCAGGCGUCCUCGUGAAGUGCGUUCUCCCAUCCACCAGGAAGCAGCUUCUGGAGGAAGUCCAUGCAGGGCAGUGUGGAGUACAUGCAGCAUCCAGAACAUUAGUCGGGAAGGUUUUCAGGUCAGGAUUCUAUUGGCCGACGGCGAAAAACGAUGCAGCUGAGUUAGUUCAGAGGUGCGAAGCUUGCCAAUACCUGUCAAAGCAACAGCACAUGCCAGCACAGCAGCUACAAACCAUACCAGUAACUUGGCCUUUCGCAUGCUGGGGAUUGGAUAUGAUUGGACCUUUCAAGAAAGCUCAAGGAGGAUACACCCAUGUAUUGGUGGCAAUUGACAAAUUCACUAAAUGGAUAGAGUUCCAGCCCAUUGCCUCUUUAACCUCUGCUAAAGCCGUGGAAUUCGUACAAAGCAUAAUAUUCAGAUUUGGGAUACCAAACAGUAUCAUCACUGACUUGGGAUCCAACUUCACCAGUUCAGAAUUCUUCGACUUCUGCGAGCAAAAAAGCAUUCAGAUCAAGUAUGCAUCUGUAGCCCAUCCGAGGGCCAACGGGCAGGUUGAGCGAGCCAACAGAAUGAUAUUGGAGGCACUUAGAAAAAGGGUCUUUGACAAGAACGAAAAAUUCGCAGGAAAAUGGAUAAGAGAAUUGCCUUAUGUUGUUUGGAGCUUGAGAACCCAACCUAGUCGGGCCCUGCAUGGAAACACUCCUUUCUUCAUGGUCUAUGGGUCGGAGGCAGUGCUGCCUGCUGAUCUCAAGUUCGGGGCGCCAAGAUUGAUUUUCGAAAGCAUAGCAGAAGCCGAAGCCACUAGGCUGGAGGAUAUUGACGUACUUGAGGAAGAACGACUGAAUGCAGUGAUUCAAUCAGCACGAUACCAGCAGACUCUAAGGCGCUACCAUGACAAAGCUGUGCGGCAACGUUUCUUUUCGAUGGGAGACCUCGUCCUCCGCCGAAUUCUAACGGGGGAGGGACGGCACAAGUUAUCACCCUUAUGGGAAGGACCUUUCAUAGUAGCAGAGGUCACUCGUCCCGGAUCAUAUCGCCUCACCCAGAUGGAUGGCACAGAAGUUGGGAACUCCUGGAACAUAGAGCACCUCCGAAAGUUUUACCCCUAGCUGUAUUUCAAAACAGCCGGGGCGACCAUGUAUUCUGUAUAAUGGAAAUAUGUCAUCAAUAAAGAGAGACUUCAAAGAUACUUGGCUCAUUUAUGAUUGACUUGCAUUCUUACUUAACUCGGGGUGACCACUAUGCCCCACAAACGGAGCAAUCGACUUAAGUCGGCAACGACUUAAGGCGGUGCAACAUGCUCACGCUUACUUAACUCGGGGUGACCACUAUGCCCUACAAAUGGAGCAAUCGACUUAAGUUGGCAACGACUUAAGGCGGUGCAACAUGCUCACGCUUACUUAACUCGGGGUGACCACUAUGCCCUACAAACGGAGCAAUCGACUUAAGUCGGCAACGACUUAAGGCGGUGCAACAUGCUCACGCUUACUUAACUCGGGGUGACCACUAUGCCCUACAAACGGAGCAAUCGACUUAAGUUGGCAACGACUUAAGGCGGUGCAACAUGCUCACGCUUACUUAACUCGGGGUGACCACUAUGCCCUACAAACGGAGCAAUCGACUUAAGUCGGCAACGACUUAAGGCGGUGCAACAUGCUCACGCUUACUUAACUCGGGGUGACCACUAUGCCCUACAAACGGAGCAAUCGACUUAAGUCGGCAACGACUUAAGGCGGUGCAACAUGCUCACGCUUACUUAACUUGGGGUGACCACUAUGCCCUACAAACGGAGCAAUCGACUUAAGUCGGCAACGACUUAAGGCGGUGCAACACGCUCACGCUUACUUUACCUAGGGUGACCACUAUACCCUACUAACGGAAUUAUCAGCUAAAAGUCAUUUACGACUUAAACCGGUAUAGCAUACUCGCGCUUAUGCAGUUCGGGGGAUGAUUUCCAUAUCCCACAAACAAACUUCAUAAUCAUCAUGUAGCGUUACCACAAAUUCAAAAUUCGGAUACAAUAAGGAAGUGAUGAUGUCAUUCGAAUGAUAAGCCGAUAACCUCUAACGAGUACUUGAUCAUGCUAACUGCGCGCUCAGAGCACGCGAACUGUUUCUUUAUUUUCCAAUGUCUUUCUCAGGAACGACUGACGAAGAAGGGCGAUUCGAGGAAUCAGGAGCAGCAUUCACAUCGGCUCUUAUAUCUUCAGGGACAACCACGCCGGGUCUUCUCAUCAAGAUUCGUCCCGCCCGAAUGGCCUUGUCCAGGGCCUUAUCGCGCUGAGCUUUGAAAGUGACAGCAGCCUCUUCGGCGACUUUAACAGCCUGCUGAGCAGUUUCUAACUCCUGAGCAAUGGAUUUCUUAGAAGCUCGGAGUCCCUUGAUAGCGGCAUCCUUUGCUGAUAGCAACUGCGUAAGGCGGGUCACUUCGUCCGAGGAUUCUUGCAGCUGACGGCGCUGAUUGUCAAGCUCCUCCAUCGUAAAACGGUGGCUCCUCUCCAAGAUGGUCAGCGAGUUGCUGGAAUCUCGGUACAAUCUGUCCAAGUUGUCGCGAGAAGCAGCAAGGAUGCGUUUUUCUUCCUACAAGCAAAAAUCAACUCAUUCAGAAUCCAAGAGCAUGAUAAGGCGAAGCACGGGUUCGUAAGCUACCUUCUCAGAGUCAAGCUGAGCAUGAAGAGAAGAACUCAGAGCGUUGGCAUCAUCCAAAGCCGCAGAAACCUGACUCAACUCGAUCUGACUUUGAGAAUACUUCUCCUCGAAGUCAACGCAUCGUCGAGCCAUUUCAGCUUGAUCUUGGGAAUGUUUUUCUUCAAGAACUGUGAUCUGCCAAGUCAUCCCUAUCAAGAGGUAUUCAAACAAAAUGAGGUCAGAAGGUAAAACAGUCCACGGACAAGAACAAAGAAGAAGAAGAAAGGAUACUAACCAGCAUUAGUUGCCUCCAACUCAGAUACACGACCCCGAAGCAACACCGGAUUCCAACGCUCAAGAAAUGAAGCCACCUCCGGGAUGGAAGCACCCUGCGACUUCAGCUGGCUGACCAUUACAUCCACCAAAGCCUGAUAAGAAGAGCGGAUGAACAUAAUGGCAACAAUUCAUGCAACAUAAAAGUCAAACUAAAGCACAGCACAGCACCUGGAGGUUGGAAAAAAGCGAAGGGAUCCCCAAGUCAGGAGAAAUCAACUGAUGAUCAGGAGCCAGACCACCACCCGAAGCAGCUUGCAGUAGACCAGCAGGAACGAACUCAGUACAUUCAGCAGAGCCUAACGCCAGACCAGUGGGGAUGCUGCCCUCUAAAGCGACCCCCUGAUCCGGAGUUUGAGCCACCACCAUGCCGCCAGAGUGUGGAGGUGAACCCACAUGAACAUCCAUGGAAGUGCAGGAAGGAGACCUCGCUCGGACACCCUCGGGGGCUGGGUCAAGGUUGGCACUGCCCACUCGAGCCGGGUCAUCCCCGGCAACACCCUCGGGGGCUGGGUAGUGGCCUGCACUCCUCACCCGAGCUGAGUCCUCCCCGGCGACAUCCUCGGGGGCUGGGCACGUGUCAGCACUAUUCAAGGGAUCCAAGCUCUCUGCCGUAACCACCUCUAAGGUUGACGGGCCUUCAGCUACUUCCAUGGGAUCAGGACGAUCCAGGUCAGCAUCCCGACCCUCAAUAUCAUGCUCUAAGGUCGACGAGGCGCGGGAUGAUCUCAACCCAGCAUCUGGCAUGGCUGCACAAGUUUCUGUUGCAUCAGCAUCUGCAGGUUCCAACAACAGGUUCUCAGGGACCAUAUCCUCUAGAGCUUGAUCAAAAUUGGCCAUGGACAGUUCUUGCAGACCAAUAAGGGCAGACAAGGCAGGAGAAGGAACUCCACUACUUCCACCGCUAGCGACGAACUGCCGACUGUUUUUCCGAGUUAAUGGAGUUUCAUUUUCUUCCUCCUCAUCUUCCACAGUAACAGCACAAACAGCAUCCUCAUUGGGGUCAGCAGCAGGCGGAGCACACCCAUUGGGAUCAAUGUCAGCAAAGCCAAUUGCAGUCAUUUCUUCGGCAGCAGGAGCUAAGGUACUGGCAUCCUCGUCAAAGCUAGAUACUCGCCGGAGGCGUCUUCUCUUCUUCUUCUGCUCAUCAGCAGAAGGCUCGGGCUGACUGGUUCGGCUAGGGCGCCUCGGGCGAGUACUGACGGUUUUCGGGACGUCCAAGGUCGCAUCAACCUCUGGAAGGGGCACCACUACCAAUGUACCCUCAGGAGCAGCAUCAGAUGAAUCCUCAGCUAGCAGAUCGAGCAUGUCAUUUAUGUCUGCAUCACUAGGGUUCAGGGGCACUUCAAAAUAAAUCUGCCGUUCAUCAUCAGGUAUCUCCCCGAGCGAAGCAACUAAGGAACGGACCUCUUCAGCAGAGGGUCACACUCUAAGACCCAAGUUGCUAUCUGUCACGGGCGGAUUGGACACAAAAAGGGUGAAAGCCUUGGGAGAAGGUAGGUUCCAAGCCGAGUAUGCCACUGGAGCACCAACGUUUGAAACUUUACCCCUGAGGAUCAUUUCGAGUCGGCUUACCAAAUCAACAGAAGGAAUUCUCCUAUUGGUAACUCGGGUUGAGUCGGCCAGCCCUCGGUAAAGAUAUGCCGGAUAGGCCCUGUCUUUCAGCGGCUGAAUGUUUUUGAAAACAAAAUCUGUGACCACAGCUUCGGCAGUCAGACCUCUCUCUUUCAGUAAUCCGACUUCAGUAAGCAACACGCCUGCCUCAGCCACUUCUUGAUCCGUGGGAGACUCAGUCCAACUUGGAGUACGAACGUCUGGCUGUCUUCCUGAGCGGGAAGGGAGAGAAUUGCCAUAAUUAUCAAUUAUAAACCACUCCAGACGCCAACCUUUAAUGCUGUCUUUGAGGGGUAUCUCGAGAUACUCGAUCUUCCGCCCACGGCGCAUCUCCAAACUGGCACCUCCGACCAACUGAUGUUGCCCCCCGGCCAUCCCAGGACGGCAGUGAUACAGAUACUUCCAUAAGCCAAAAUGCGGCAGCACGCCGAGAUAAGCUUCGCAAAGGUGAACAAAAAUAGAGAUUUGGAGAAUGGAAUUAGGGUUCAAAUGAGUCAGGUUGAUGUGAUAAAAAUCAAGGAGGCCACGGAAAAAAGGAGAUAUGGGAAGGCCAAGGCCGCGAAGAAGGAAAGGAGUGUAAACUACUGACUCGUGGGUAUCUUCGGUUGGGACAGUGGUCCCGUGGCAAGCCCGCCAAGAACAGAGUUCCCGCGGAGGAAGAACCCCGAUGGAGACAAGGCGGAGAAGCUCAGCUUCAGAAAUUACAGACAUGUGGUUACCUGCGAAGGGUAACUGGCUGUUGGGGUCGAUUGCGGGGAUCACUGCGGCAAACGAAUUCGCAGUUUUUCUCUUGGGCGCCAUCUUGCUUCUCACUGGCGAAACAGAGUAGGAGGCGAGUGGCAGAGAAGAUUCAGAUGCGGAAAUGCAAGAACUAGGGCACGGAAAGCAAAGGCGGCUAAAAGCGCGACUCUUAAGGGAUAUUCUUGAGCCAGAUACCCUUUCAAAAAGUGCUCAGUCAUUACUCGGCGGUCAUCUCCGAAAUCCCAGCAUGCCACGUGGGUAUCCGACAGUUAUUUCCAAAAAAGCCGGCGUGCCACCUCAUCACUCGGUUAUUUUCCUCAAAGUAACUUGUAAAGCUGGCUAUCACUCGGCGUUGCCUCUAAAACGCCGACCACGUGUUCAAUCGCUCGGCAUUACUUCUAAAAUGCCGAUGCCGACCUUCAAUCACUCGGCGUUGCCUCUGAAACGCCGACCACGUGUUCAAUCGCUCGACAUUACUUCUAAAAUGCCGAUGCCGACCUUCAAUCACUCGGCGUUGCCUCUAAAACGCCGACCACGUGUUCAAUCGCUCGGCAUUACUUCUAAAAUGCCGACGCCGACUUUCAAUCACUCGGCGUGUCCUCUAACGCGCCGACCAAGGGUUCAAUCGCUCGGCAUUACUUCUAAAAAUGCCGACGCCGACCUUCAAUCACUCGGCGUCGUUUCUAAAACGCCGACCCUGUAUUCUGUCGCUCGGCAUUACUUCUAAAGUGCCGAUGCCGACCUUCUAUCAUUCGGCAUUGCCUCUAAAACGCGGAUCUUGUGUUCGAUUGUUUGGUGUUACUUCUAAAACGCUGAUGUCAACCUACACAUCGCUCGGCGUUGUUUCUACUACAUCAAAAGAAUCAGUUCAACAUUCAGGAAAAGCAACGACAAGUCAUUGAAAAAGGGGGAUCAACGAUAGUUCUUCAUUAAAGGGAAGUUAACGAGUUUACAAACCAACUCUUCACGAGUUGGUACUUCCCUACUUCUACUCUACAUUACUACUACUACUAAACUACACUAUACUACUCUACACUAAUUACUACUACAUUAUUCUAACUAUACUAAACUAUACUAACAUCUAAUAAGACCAGUGGCGUCUAGCCACUGGCCCUGCCCCUGCCGCCGCCGCCGCCCUUGGUGCUGCCCCUGCUGCUGCCGCCCUUGGUGCUGCCCUUGCUGCUGUCGCCCUUGGUGCUGUCCCUGCUGCCGUCGCCGCCGCCCCUGCCACUGCCGCUGCCGUCACCGUCGCCGUCGUCGUCGUCGUCGUCGUCGUCGUCUUCACCCUCGUCGCCGCCGUCCGAGUCCUCCUCAUCCGAGGAGUACUCCGACUCAUCCGAGCCUUCGAGCCCGGAGCGCUCGACGGCCUGGAUGUACGUCCAGACCUCCGCGGCUAUCCCCUGGGAGUCGUCCGAGUCAUCGGACGACGCCGGGGGAGAGACGGGAGCCGGAGACCCCUCGGACUCGGAGGAGAACUCCUCCUCCGAGUAUUCCGAGUCAUCGAAAUCCUCCGAUGGAGGAGUCGGCUCGCGCUUGCGCUUGUUGUUCUUGCCCAUGGCGGAAGCAGACAGAGGGGAGGAAAAGAAGGCAGUAAGGAGCAGCGAAGAGAUGUGAAGAAACCAGAGAAGCAAAGGGGUUAUUUAUAGAAGGGAAAGGCAACCGCUCACUUCUAACCGCGGUCACUGAACAGUCGCAAGGCAUUCAAUAAGCACUUCCACCCAUCUGAAGACACGUCAGACGGCGGACGCCGUUCCAUGCAACACUACACCCAUUGGGACUCCAGUCAACAGCGCAAAGGAUAUGAUUACACUAGCCGUCCCAUCGCAUUACUACUCAGAGGCAACCGGCUAAAACACUCAGCGUACCAAGCCGUCCCUUGCCCACACCCAUUGGGGGGGGACGCCCAGGAAUUAUCAGUAUAUUUUUCAAACGGUCACAUCCGUGCAGGGCAUGCAGUGAAUACCUCAAGACAAAAAUGAGAUAUCAGUAAGGAUCAGAGGAAAGCCAAAUAUAGCCAGCAAAGUACAAGAUAUGGCCGACAGAAGCGACGUGAAGACUAGACAGAGAACGUCCAUCAAACGUCCAAUCAAUCGCAGAAGCAAAUAAAUUGCACUACCUAGCAACAUAUGGAUGGAUUGCAAACUCGGCUGCUAAAGACAAAAUAGACGCUGACCUCUGCAGCAAAAUAUUGAUGACAUAAUGCUGACCUCCAAAGCAUAAUGCAAAGUAGCUUCACGCCAGUUCCCACAAGCGAAAGGAAGACCUUCGAAUGGAUUAUCCAUAAAAAAUCCAUUUGAAGGUCGGGGGCUACACCCAUUGGGUGCACCUCCGGUGCACCCCAUGGAGUAUUAUUCUAAACUGAUAUAGCGCCGACUUCUAAGGCAUAGAGCAAGAUUGAAAAGACCAAUCCUCAACCGAGAUGCAGGAGCGCGAAUGGAGAUAACCUUUGGAAGAAGACCUUCGAGUAGAUUAUCUUCUAAAAUCUACUCAAAGGUCGGGGGCUACACCCAUUGGGUGCACCUCCGGUGCACCCAACGAAGUCCAGAGUCUUACAAUCCAAAAUGCCGACCUCUGAGGCACGAGCACAAAACCAAACUUUGGUCGAACAAGUGAUCAGAGCUAUAGAAGACAGCAGGAAGUCAUUUUUUGGACCUUGGAUCUUUGAGUUGAUUACCUCUAAAUCAACCCAAAGAUCGGGGGCUUGUGGGGGAUAGAUAUCCCCUGGGUCCACUAAAGAAGUAAAAGGCCUCACGAAAGGCCCAAGGGCCCAAUAAUUCGUAAGGUCAUGCUUUCGUGGGCCUAGGGAAAGACAACCAACAAAGAAAAGAAGACGUGAGACUGAUUAGUGCAAACCCAGACGGCCCACAACGUCGAACGAAUGAAUCGCAACAAAGACCCGACUUUCCCGCGCUGAAGCCCCCAUGCAACAGAGCCAUGCGAGGAUAAGUCGGCAAGGGUUACGUAAGGAUAAACUCAAGAGGUUCACUAUCUUUUAGCUACUUGUUGUUAUCAUAUCACAUGUACUGCCCCACGGUCGAGUAUAUAAGGCCUAGGGGGCAUCCCUUCAGAUCGAUCGACCCUGUUCUACUUAGCCACCCACAUAAACUCUCUGCGCCCUCUAUCCAGAGAACCCUCUUGUAACCACGCUCAUAUACUCACCAGGACGUAGGGUGUUACGCAUUUCUAAGCGGCCCGAACCUGCAAAUCUUGUCCAUUGUCCCUCGUGCGAUUGGCACGAACCAUUUUGCUACAGUCGUUGACACCGUCCUACUCCUAAAAACACCUUGAGGGGCAACCCCGGGUGUGCGGUCGGACCAAAAACACCGACAGGGGCCUGGGGAGAAACAACCAACAAAGCAGAGCGACGUGAAACCGGAUUGGUGCAAACCUGGACGGCCCACAACGUCGAGCGAGUGAAUCGCAACAGAGACCCGACUUUCCCGCGCUGAAGCCCCCAUGCAACGGAGCCAUGCGAGGAUAAGUCGGUGAGGGUUACGUAGGGAUAAACUCAAGAGUUUCACUACCUUUUAGCUACUUGUUGUUAUCAUAUCCACGUGUACUGCCCCACGGUCGAGUAUAUAAGGCCUAGGGGGCACCCCUUCAGAACGAUCGACCCUAUCUUACUUAGCCACCCAUAUCAACUCUCUGUGUCUUCGAUCCGGAGAGCCCUCUUGUAACCACGCUCACCAAGCAUACUCACCAGGACGUAGGGUGUUACGCAUCUCUAAGCGGCCCGAACCUGUAAAUCUUGUCCACUGUCCCUCGUGCGAUCGGCACGAACCAUUUUGCUACAGUUGUCGAUACCGUCCUACUCCUAGAAACACCUUGAGGGGCAACCCCGGGUGUGCGGUCGGACCCAAAACACCGACAGACUCAUAAAAGUGUUACUGGAAAAAGGUUAGCUUCAUGCCAAGCAAUCUACCUACCCUGUUAUUCCCAUAUCAUGUCAUCACUUUUGCAUGCAUGCCAUGGGACCAAACUUUACAUAGGUCUCGCACAUCGCCUUCCAAGAAGGUUACCAAGAAACUUUAUAGAGAUGAUGGCACAGAAGAUGACGAUGCUGCUGGUUACACAGACGUUGAUGCUGAGUAAUGGUAUGUCCAAUUCUCCCCUACAACUUCAUGAGAUAUAUGCUUCCAAGUGUUUCAAUUGCAUGUAGUAUAAGGCAGUGGGUACUAGGCAACCCUAAACCCCAAUUUGCUUAAUGAUAUGGCUCCAAUCUCCAGGGGUUCCUGCACUUUAUUAAGGAGACUGAGUGCCAUCGUGCUAUAACCCAAAAUCCAAAACGAAAGACAAAAGAAAGGAACAAUACAUUGAGAUUCGAUAAUCAUAAUUUAUUUUCUGGUGCAAAAAGAAUGUGACAUUACAGCCUUUCAAUUCAGAUAAACAACAGAAACAUUCCAAGCACAGAUUAAUAGUGCUCCCCCAAAGAAGUCACACAGAUUGAUAACUAUUUUAAGGUCAGAUGCAAUUUCUUGAUAAAUCAUCUGAGAAGGUAAAAAGAGAGUUCUCUUAUUUUGUACAAUAGUUGCUCAUAACUCAAGACUCCAAGAGAUCUUGGAUGCAGCAGUAGCUACAUAGCUUGCCUUAAGCAGCUACAUUAUUCCAGGACAAAAGAAAAACAUUUGCACCAAGAGUUGCAAUACAAGACCAUGAAAGAAAUGGUAAUGGAGAAAAGCUUAAGUUACUUUGCAAACAACAUUUAAUCAUAUUUUGUAGAAAAAGAGCGAUUGAUAGAAACAAGUACCUCUGGAUUUCAACGCGUCAAAUAGUUGUUGCCUCAUGUUAAUGAUCCUAUCAGCCACGGCUUUCAGUUCCAGAGUCCAUUGGUUGAACAUCUCGCUGCAAGUUAAUAAAUAGAAUCAAACAACAGGAAGUAACCACUUUGUAUAGCUCUUCGACCCACGUCUGAAUAUGGCACUGCAAUAACUACUUUUAGCUAUCUAGGACACUGUGAUGCAUAGGAACAACAUUCAAAGCAAGCUCGCAGGUCAUCAAAUAUCUCAAAUAAGCAUUCUAAAACUAACAAUAGGUCCAUAUGCGGUUCAUUGAACUAAUAUAUAAACAAAAGAGAAAAUGGUGUAACCUUCUACCAAUAUAGGUCAAAUUAGAAAUUAGCAAGUUUUCAGAAAAGAGGUCAAUAGGCUAAAACAUCAACAAGUCAAAAAAUCGAUAGUCAAAUGAUUUCGAAUGGUUUGCCUUCAUAACAUCUUCCGUCGAGAUGUACGGAAAAAAACUUAGACAUUAUAUUUGAGAUUGCAAUGCUUGCCAAAACUUGUUAAUUGAUUGCUACCUUUUUUAGUUGCAGUGCUUUUGGACACGAGCACCACCAGCUAUGGAGGCCCGCUUUUGGGAACUGAGGAUCGCUUUUGGGAACUAAGGAUCGCUUUUGGGAACUAUCCCAGUUCAUCUAGGUUGCUGUUAGAACUUCCCCCUGCUGUGUAGGGCGUAUGGUUUUAUGCUUGUAAGAUAUGGGCAGCGCUAUGCUGUGUGCUUCACUGCAAGAUAUGUCUUUUGUUGCUUGGUCAUAGCUAUGCUAUGCGUGCAAUGCUGCGAGGACCAUACUCGCAAUGUGUAAAGCAUGCCUAUAUAGUCUAGGCCUGAACAAACUAGAAACAUUGCUUCCCUUGGUACUUCUACUAUUUCUCUUUGUCAUUUUGUGCUACUACCAACCAUCUAUUUGUCGUUCCUAUGUAAAGUAUGCCUAUAUAGUCUAUUGGUUGUUCUGUGCUACUACCAUCCAUCUAUUAUGUGCUACUACCAGCCAUCUCUUUAUCUUAUAGUACAGGAAAUAAACGCCGGAGCAGCUCCUAUGCUCCAUUGAAGAACGAAUACAGUCCAAUUCUGGAUGAUGAGUGAGAAAGAUACUAAGGUAUAUCAUGUAACCCAUCCUUGAAUUUCAGAUUACCUUUAUUCAUGUGAUGUAGGUUGGCUAUAAUGUCAUGGUGGAUAAAUUUACCAAUAGAGUUGUGCGGUUGUCCAGCUAAGCUAGCCUCUAAUUGUACUAUUGCAUCAUGAUAGUCACACUUACCAUGGUACGUGAUGAACUCAUCCUGAAUAAUGCUCCAGAAAUUUAUUUUACAUUUUUUAUAGAAAAUAUAGAUCAUACCAUGCAGAGGGUCGCUUUCAAUGCAUUUUAGGUUUCGACUGUAACCAAUGUAUUUUUAGUACUGAACUUUAAUUUCCAGUUUUUCUAAAUUAUUGAUGUCAUUUUCGUUUUUAGAGUUAUCGUUUUCAAUUUCGUUUCCAGAAAAAAAAUAUAAAAACAAAAAUAGUCUUAGUGUUUAUCAGUUUCGGACCGUUUUCACGCCUAGCCUAGCUCCAAUCUCUCUGCUGCCAAACCUAAAAGAUUGGAGCGGGAUUGCUCUGAUUUUGGCAUUGUAUAAGGGGGUCGCUUUCAGCGAUGACUGCUGAGAGAACAAACAUUCCAGUACACGAGAAAAUCAUUGAGAGAUCAGGGUGGAUUGGUGGUGUAGCGUCACACAUCUUCUGUGCGCUUUGCCUAUUUGGGAAGUCGUUUCUUUUUUGCCCCUGUUUCGGGGCUGCUUUUUUCGUCCACAUUAAUUCAAAUGAUAAUAAAUAGACAUACAUGCAAACCGCGUUCAUAUGUUACUUAAUGAAUGUAUGAUUAGUCUAAAACGAAUUAUAUUUUGGGAUGGAGGGAGUACCUCUGAAUUAAGCCUUUCUUUUUCUUGAGAAUGGCGUUUCAGAUCAGCUUCUAUAGCAGACAAGCUACCUUUUGAAAGCAACCUUUCUUCAAGUGAUUCUAUAUCACGAGUAAGUUGUUCCACAUCAGCCUUUGUUUUCCUGUACUUGAGAUUGUCAUCAAUGUUUCUUUUCAACUGGCCCUGGCCCUGCAGUAGUUCUUUGCUCUUGUUUAACUCAGUUGAUAUUCUUUGAUGUUUUGCCAUGCAACUCUGUAACUGAGAAUGGCAAAGAGCAUGCCUUCCCUGCAGUUCCUUAAGCUUUUCGUUUUUCUUGGAAUCCAAGUACCUGAGAGAAAAAAUUCAGGUUACCAAUAAGCAGCAAAAGUCAGGUAAAUGAAAAUCUGAGAAAUGGAAAAGGAUACCUAACGUCGAUCAUGAUGAACCAUCCCAAAUGGGCUUGGCUGCUGAUCUGGAAGACUGGAGCUGGAAAGAUCAGCACACCGUUCCUGCUUCAUCUGGAAGCAGGUCGAUCAGAGUGGUCGUGCCCUUUCGAUAAAUGCAGGAGAGACAAUAUUGUCCUGUUCUAUACUUGCGUUCAUGGUAAUGUAAUCUUCCGCGUUGAUUUUCCAGUGUUAUAAUUUGUGUGUUAUAAUUUGUUAAUUUAUGUGUUAUAAUUUGUUGAACAUUAUAAGUUUUCCAGUGUUAAGCAUCCUAGUUUUUUCUCUAAAAGACUCACAAUUUUACCCAACCAGAAUGCAUUCAAGUUAUGCAAUUCAAAAAAAUUGGAAAAGGAUUGGCAUCCUUUGAUCCAUGAGAAGGUCAUGAAAGUCAUGCACAGGUACAUGCAUGUUAUAACCUACAUUUAGAGCUCAUUUUGUUAUGUCAUGUUUGCAAUUUGCACUUCACGUGAGCUUAACAUUGCUGAAUUUGGAAACAGGCAUGACAGGAGAGUUUUUGCAUGGACUGUUCAUGAUAUCAGCUCCAUGAAGAAGAUGUUGUAUGAGCAUGUUGAUGCCAUUAUGACCAGUAACUCUUCUCUUCUACAACGGCUUAUGCAGGAGACCAGAGCUGAGUAUAUGGAAGAUGGAUUUAUCUUACCAUAGGAAUUUCUAGCAGUCAGAACAUAAGGGUUUAACUUCUCAGCAGAGAGGACCAACUAGCGAGUUGGCUUUGAGGGAUUAUUCAUAAAUUAGAUGAUAAUUACUUUAGUUUCUAGCGCAUUCGGCACUUCGGUCAUAAAUUUCAUGUUGCUUUGUCUAAUUGUUACCACAAAUUAAUAUUUUAGUAUCAUUCCAAUUUGAUAUGCCUCAUAAUAACCAUGAUUACUGCAGGGCGCACGAAGUGCGCCUCCUGAUCUAGUUUCAUUAAAAACAACCAUUAAUUUAUUAUAAUAAUUCUAUACAAUGAUUUAUUAAAAACACAAAUUGGAAACAUAUAAUACCAACCUACUGUAAAAGUUACAGUAUCCAUCCUUAUUAUAGACAAUUUAUUCAACUAAUUGAUAAUGAAUCUAGACUCAUAUACAAAACACUUGCACUAAUUAUUGUAUGAAUCUAACUCAAUAUCAAAACUGUGAGUGCAUAUGUUUCUUCUUGUCACUGAGAUGUCAACAGUGGGCCUUAGCUGAGCACAGUCACCGUGGUGUACUGUCAGACAUGAAGUUGUUGAUGAGGUCUUGGUUGAUCAGUGCUUUCUUGUCAACAGUCACAAACGCCUGUUGGGUCAAGAUGUAAUCGACGCAUGGUGCCCACUUCCUAGUUCCCAAAUGAGCAGUUCUAACAUGAAGGCCACACCAGACUCGAUCAGUCACACACCUAAUUAUCUCCGAGUAAGAGUGGCCCUUCUUCCUAACGACCUCAAUCUACAAUGGAGUCAAACAAAAGACUAUUAAACAUUUCAAUAACCGGUGUGUGAUGAGAUGCUAUUACCCUUCUGGAUAUGGGAUCGAACCUGAGCAAGGAAGAUGUUAAUGGGCAAAACAAAAAAAAAGAUAUCUAAAAAUAACUGAAGUCUACAAGUUGUGCUUCAAUGGCACGCUUGAUAGCAGGUAACUCUAAGUGAUGUUGAAUAACAAAAAAGAGCAUAUUCAAUGAAACAAGAAAAUGAAGCAAACAUAAUGUAAAAGAAACUAAACAUGGUAAUGGACAAUACAAAGUAGCACAACUUACAAUGCACUUGGUUUCAUGUUACCUGCAAUAAUGACAACGAUGUUAUCUAUGUAAGUUCAACUCUUCCUCCACUAUAUUUCAUCCGUGAGUUGCACCUAUUCUGUAUUUUCCUACACUACACCAAAAUCAUACACUUCCUACGUUUUUUAACUUCCUACAGGUUUUAUAACAAACCGUAAGAAAUAAAUAACUUCCGAGAGGCAACUGGUACCUCUAGGAAAUAAACAUAACUUCCUACAGAUUUUUAUAAAAGCUGUCGGAAGUUAAAAAACCGUAGGAAGAUAACUAACUUCCUACGGCCUCCUCUAGGAAGUUAGGUUUCAUCUGUUCACCAGCCAAACGAAUAGCUAACUUCCUACGGCUGGCUCUAGGAAGUUAGUGAGAGCACCUAGAGGGGGGGUGAAUAGGUGAUCCUAAAUAAAAAAACUUAAAUCUUAAAGCCACAAACUUGAUUAAGUGUUAGAGCAAUAAAGCCAAAUGGCUAGAGAGGAGUUCUUGCAAAACACAAUAACCACAAAAAGAUCAACACAGAGAGGCACAGUGGUUUAUCCUGUGGUUCGGCCAAGUCCAACACUUGCCUACUCCACGUUGUGGCGUCCCAACGGACGUGGGUUGCACUCAACCUCUUUCAAGUGGUACAAAUGCCCACUUGAAUACCACAGUGUUUCUCUUCCUUUCACUAUAUCCCAUUUGCGAGGAAUCUCCACAACUUGAAGUCUCUCUCCCUUACAAAAGAUGAUCACAAAUGAACACAGAAGUAAGGAUGGGAUGAGCAACACACACAAGUUCAUAGCAAUACGCACACACACGGCCAAGACUUGAGCUCAAAUGAAUAUCACAAAGUUUUCACUAGAACAGAGCUCAAAUCACUAAGAAUGUCAAACGAGUGCGCAAAGACGAAGUGUGAAUGAUCAAGAAUGCUCAAAGUAUGCUUGGUGUGCUCCUUCAUGCGCCUAGGGGUCCUUUUUAUAGCCUCAAGGCAGCUAGGAGCCGUUGAGAGCAAUCUAGGAAGGCAAAUCUUGCCUUCUGUCGACUGGUGCACCGGACAGUCCGGUGCACCACCGGACACUGUCCGGUGCAGAUCUCUUUCCUAUUCUGGUGUAGCCGACCGUUGACGAUUUGGAGCCGUUGGCGCACCGGACACUAUCCGGUGCCCCCAUCAGACCGUUGGUCGGGCCACGCGUCACGCGCGAAUUGCGCAGCCGACCGUUGGCUCGGCCGACUGUUGGCUCACCGGACAGUCCGGUGAUUUAUAGUCGUACGCCGUCGUUCAAUUCCUGAGAGCAGCCUCUUCACCAGAGCCAGCCUGGCGCACCGGACACUGUCCAGUGCACCACCGGACAGUCCGGUGCACCCAGACUGAGCAGAGUCUUGGCUGCUUGAUCUAAGUCUUUUCCAUUUGUCUUUUCUCUGAUUCUAGCACUUAGACAAAUAUGUUAAUACACAAAAACCAAUGUACUAAGUCUAGAAUCAUACCUUUGUAUUGAUUUGCACUUUGUCCACCAUUUGGCAUAGUUUUAACACAUAAACAUUUGUGUUGGACACUUAAUCACCAUAAUACUUAGAAAUGGCCCAAGGGCACAUUUCCCUUUAUCUCCCCCUUUUUGGUGAUUUAUGCCAACACAACAAAAAGCAACAUAUAGAAGUGCAACAUCAAUGCAAAUGAGAACAAGAAUUUGUUUUGAUUCAAAUUUGGCAUAUUUGGAUCAUUCUUUGCCACCACUUGGUUUGUUUUUGCAAAUCAAACUCAAUUUCCUAUCUCUAAGUCAAAUUCACUUAUCGAGGCAUAGAGAAAGGUAUUCCAAGAGAAAUUGAUCAAAGAUUCAAAAACUCCCCCUUUUCCCAUAAUCAAACAAUCUCCCCACAAGAGACCAACUUUUGACAAGAAGAGACAUUAAGAGGAUUUUGACAAAACAAAAACUCUAACUCUAUUAUUUUCAAAAUUAGCUGAUCCAUUUCUUGCUUUGGCCUUAUUUUCUCCCCCUUUGGCAUCAAGCACCAAAACAGGAUCAAUCUUGGCCCUUAAACCCCAUUGCCUCACCCAAAAUCUUCAAAUAAGAGUAAAAGGCAAUAAGAGUAUGGAGAUGAACUUGGAGUAAGUUACCCUGUCAUCGGAGUGCAGUGGAAGUCUUUCAUGGUCCAAGUCCACCUUUCCCUUUCAAUCCACCUUUGAGACUAAAUCAAGCAAGCUCAAACACAUGGUUAGUCUCAAAGGGUCAAGUUGUAGCACAUCUCCCCCUAAAGUUGUGCAUCACUUGCAAAUGGACUUGUGAGGUCCAGGGAGUGCUUGUACAACUUGAGCACCAUGAAUAAACAACAAAAUGCAUAAGGAAUAUGAUCAAAGCAUAGAACACAUGUAUGCUAUAAAUCAAUCCAAGUUCCGUGAAUCUAAGACAUUUAGCUCACUACGCAACUUGCAAAAGGUCUUCUCAUCUAGAGACUUGGUAAAGAUAUCGGCUAGCUGGUUCUCGGUGCUAACAUAAAACACUUCGAUAUCUCCCUUUUGCUGGUGGUCUCUCAAAAAGUGAUGUCGGAUGUCUAUGUGCUUUGUGCGGCUGUGUUCAACAGGAUUAUUCGCCAUGCGGAUAGCACUCUCAUUAUCACACAGGAGUGGGACUUUGCUCAGAUUGUAGCCAAAGUCCCAGAGGGUUUGCAUCAUCCAUAGUAGUUGCGCGCAACACUGUCUUGCGGCAACAUACUCGGCCUCAACGGUGGAUAGGGCAACAGAAGUUUGUUUCUUAGAACUCCAAGACAUCAGGGACCUUCCUAAGAAUUGGCACAUCCCUGAUGUACUCUUCCUAUCGACCUUGCAUCCAGCAUAAUCGGAGUCUGAAUAUCCAAUCAGGUCAAAGGUAGACCCCUUUGGAUACCAUAUCCCGAAGCAAGGCGUAGCGACUAAAUAUAUAAGAAUUCGCUUCACGGCCACUAAGUGACACUCCCUUGGAUCGGAUUGAAAUCUAGCACACAUGCAUACACUAAGCAUAAUAUCCGGUCUACUAGCACAUAAGUAAAGCAAGGAACCUAUCAUAGACCGGUAUGCUUUUUGAUCAACGGACUUACCUCCUUUGUUGAGGUCGACGUGUCCGUCAGUUCCCAUUGGAGUGUUUGCGGGCUUGGCGUCCUUCAUCGCAAACCGCUUGAUCAAGUGUUGGGGACUUGUUCUCAAUAGCUUCAAUUUAAGAACAAGGCAACAUAAAAAGUGUUAAAUGUCAAAGUCCUUCGUCCUUCUGAGACAUUAUUUCCUUUCGGAUAUAAUGAAUUCCGGAUGAAGGUUGUAAAGGAAAAACCUUCGAAAGCACGAUAAACGAUGAGGAAGAAUUCGUAAAUGAAAUACGAAAACUAACAUAAACAGUUAAACAUUAUUAUCAACUUACUUUUUAUUUGCAUCAUCGUAUCAACAAUAACAAAUUAUAAAUGUACCUUCGAUUUGAAGGAAAGCAAGAGUACAAGCGUGAUGUAAAAGCGAAUGUCCAGUCAGCGUGAACAGUACGGGAGUACUGUUCAUCUAUUUAUAGGCAAGGGACGCAGCCCAUGUAAAAUUACAUUCAUGCCCUUUACAUUUGCUAAUAACUCUAUAGUAAUUAUUCGAGGUCUGAUUUGUCUUUUCAUCUUUAAGUCGGUUCCUCUUUUCUGUUGUCAUGCCGAAGCUUUCCUGCGCACAGCUUCGUGAUAACCUUGUCCUUCGUCAUAAUCACCUUUCGUCUCGCUCAGGCUUCGUCCUGACCAUGCUCUGUAUACUCAUGAUCCGAAUCCGAAGAUACCUGUUCACAUAUUUCACUUGGAAAACAUUGUCAAAUCAUGUUUUUGAGGACCUUCGGAAGCUGAAGGCCCCCAACAGUAGCCCCUCGCAAUAUUAAUUUGCAAGAAUGAUAAAUUCAGAUUGCGAUAUGGACGAAGGCCUUAAGCCGAAGGUCCGAAAAAACACAUUUCCUUUGCUAGAAUAGCAAUAGUCAAUGACAGGUGGUGCCCUGCCACUUGCAACGUAUUUGGCGUAUAAAUAAGAACGCACCGCGAGCACAUUUAGCACGCUUUCUUGCCGUCUGCUCUUGCCUUCCUAAUUUUUAGCUCAUUGCACACCAACGCUUGCCCGACUUUUUAAAUUUUUAAGCUUCGUCUUUGAGAGCACUUUUCUUAGCAUUUUUGAAGAUGUCUGAAGACAAGAAAGUUGUCGCAGAGUCGAAGCUAAGCCUUUCCGAAGAGAUGAAUCUCGGCUUCCUUGAAUCAAUAGCAAAGACAAAUACAGAGAAGAUUACUAGGGAGAUUUUAGAGGGUUUAUCUGAAGACACUAGUGACAGUGACAGCUAUGAUGUGAAUAGUGGUGGUGAAGAUUCCGAAGAUCGACCUUGGCGACCAAGCCAUGCAGUUUUUUGAAAAUCAAGCAUUAAACAAAGCCAUCUUGCCAAUAUGAGAGGUAGAUAUUUUUGGGAUUUAUCUAUUGUGAGGGCUGAUGAAGGAGAGAAAACUUGUCCGACUCCCGAGGAGGAUGAAGUCGUGAUAUUUCGAAGUUUCCUUAAAGCUGGACUUCGGUUUCCUUUGAGCAGUUUCGUGGUAGAAGUUUUGAAGAUAUUUGAAAUCUAUCUCCAUCAAAUCACUCCCGAAGCAAUCAUAAGGAUGGGAAUCUUCGUAUGGGCCGUGAAGAGCCAAGGUUUGGAGCCAAAUGCAAAAAGUUUCUGCAGUAUGCAUGAGCUAUUGUAUGAGACGAAACCAUGGGGUAAGGAGCAAUAUCACAACAAUUUUGGUUGUUAUAGCUUUGGUGCCCGCUCUGGGUCAAGUUGUCCCGUGCCAACUUUUCGGAAGAGAUGGCCUGGGGACUGGAUGAAGGAAUGGUUCUAUGUGAAGAACGACUUGAAAACGCGAGAAGAUAUUAAAGAUAUCAUUAUGCGCCCUAUCUUGCAGCGCUUCGGCCUUUGGAAACCGAAGGUGGAAAUUGACGAAGCAGCCGAAGAAUGCCAGAGGGCCUUCGGCGUGGUUUGCUCUUUCAUCGGGACAAGGGAUUUGAUCCAAGAACAUAUUGCCUUCAGAGUAUGGCCGCUUGCAGAAAAGUGGGAAAUGCCGAAGGAAACCGUCAGCGAACCUAUCGAAGGUGGAUUAGUUAUGUUAAAAUUCUCCUUCAAAUAUGGAGAUAAGUUCGGCGAGCCAGAUGAUGACUGGUUGAAAAGUAUUGAGGCCAUAAGCGAUGAGCUGCUUGGGCCAUACUCGAAGGCAGAAGAUACUGCACUGUCUGCAGCCUUCGGAGGCCGGAAGAAGAAAAGACUUAACCGAGUAUUUGAUGCCGUUGGGUUCGUCUAUCCUGACUACCGCUAUCCAAUACGGGGUCAGAAAAGGAAAGAUACGGCUUCUGCGAAGGAGGCUGCUUCAGCCGCUCCUAGUGAGCCAGCACCGAAGAGGAAAAAGAUGAAGGUUCUUACGCACCGGCCACACUAUAUUGAACCGGACAUAGUGCCCGAGUUUGUCGGUGAAUCCUCUUCGGCCCCCGAAGCCAAGGAGCCGACUCCCCUGCCGAACAUUGAAGAGCCGGUCAUAAUGUCGGAGAUAGAGAAAAUAGAAGAACCGAAGGCUAAAGAAACAAGGGCAUCUGAAAUUUUAAGUCCUUCAGCAAAAGUUGAAGUACCAAAAAGCCAAAAAGGGCCAGCAUUGACCCCCAAAAGAAAAAGGAUGGUUAAUGUACUGGAUGUAUUGGAGACAAUAAAGUCUUCAAGCACCAUUCCAAAGAAAAUUGUCGAGACUCCCGAAGUGCAAAUCGAAGCCUUUGGUGCCGAAGCUUUAAAGCACCAAUCUGAGACUGAAGCUGGGCCUUCAGAGCCUGCCAAGGUGAAGUCCUUGGAAACCAAAGAAACAGAAACAGCAGAACAAAUUUUGGCUGAAGAAACUGGCACUGCCGCCCCCGAAGCAUUUUCCAAAGCUUUCGAUUAUAUUUUACGACAUGCUUCGGGGAAAGAGUUGACUGAAAAAGAAAAGCAAGAGGCUCAGUUUUAUGCCCAAAAAUUGAAAUAUCCAAAGGGGGCGUUGAUAUUCAACGACAGCGGAGAAGAAGAUUUCUUGUAUUGUCUCCAUGACAGCAAGGAAAUUUCUGUCUGUCGGGAGAUGAGCAAGAGUUUCGGAUUCCCAACAUUAGAAGACGGGCUCUCGGUGUUGUCAAAAAACGAGCUAGCCGACAGUUUGGCGUACAACAGCUUAAAGGUGCAAAAAUGAGAUCUUUGUAUUAUUUCUUGAAACCAAAAUUUUUCAUUUGCUUAAACUUAUUGACACGCAUUUUUUUUGCAGGGCCUUAUACUUAGCAAUGCCCUCAGGGCACAAAAAGAUGCCGAAGACGAAGGGUGUAUUAUGGCCCUGAGUAACCUUCGUUCCGAAGUAAUUGAACUAAGGAACGAAGGUCUCGAAAAAGAUAAAAUAUUACAUUCAUUGGUGAAUAGAAUAAAAGAAGACGAACCUACUUUCAGAGCUCAAGCUGAGGCUAGGAAGCGUGAAAUUGAGGAUCUUCGGAAACAACUAGCCAGAGCUAAAGAAGAACGCACACUUGAAGAAACAAAACGAGAAAUUAGUGAACAAUGGGCAAAUCACUUAGAAAAAAACGUUGAAGAGCUUCGUGCGUCCAAGAAAAGGUGCUAUGACAAAUCUAUAGAAUGUGUCAAGAAAAUAAGAACCAGCUUCGCUAGCAUUGGCGCAUUCUCAAGUGAGGAAAACUUCAUAAGGGGUGACCCCGAAGGCCCAAUUGGAUGGAUCAGCCACGAAGCUGAAGCCUUUGAAGAGGUUUUGAAUAGCCGCGGAGACAUAUGUGCCUUUUCGGGUGCCAGGGGGAUUGCCACUAUUUUGGAGAGGAAAGGUUGUGACCAUGUGAAAUCCUUGGCACAAUCCGAAGCCGCCUUAUCUUUUGAAGAUAUAAAAGACCCCUCGGCCGAAGCAAGCCUAGUUGGUGGAAAAAAUUUCACCGACAUCUAGGACAAUGGUGGCCGGGAGAUGGCCCAAGAAAUUAUACGAAAAAGCGGAAAAGGUUUUCAUGACGCUAGAAAAGUAGCAGAAGCCGCUGAGAAAAAUGCGGAUCUCGAAGGGCAAAUAGGUACUGACUAGUAGUUUUUGGCUCUUUGUUGUGAUUUUUUGAUUUCAAACUUGUCUACGCUUUGUAACACAGUCGCACUUUCUCCUCCCUCAGAGCCUGCUGAGCCAUCGGCGGACCCCCAUGUGAAGGGAGACGACGAAAUUAGAAAAAUGGCUGAAGCUAUCAUGGAUAAAGUUGUUGAUCAACUACUAAACGAAGCUGCAUAAGUAGUUCUAAGGGAAGAUUAGAUGUUAUUGUAAAAACAUUUGGAAUGUAAUAUUUGUUGAAAAUCAUGUGUAAUAUUCUGUAAUAUAUAAGCUAUUUAUGGUUCAAUUCUUUACGAUGCAUGAAAUGUUACAUACAUACCGUUUUUGAGCCUUCGGCGAAAAAACACCUUCCCUUCUUUUCAUGCUUCGUAAAUAAUAUCCGUAUUUUCAUAAAAACAUCCAAUCUUCGUAAAAAUCAGUAUACAAUAGAUCUUUUCAUUUCAGAAUUUGACGAAGGCAUGCUUCUUCAAUAAUUAUUUUCGUGCCUUGGCCCUGUUUCUUCGAAACAAUUUCUGAAUAUCAACAUUGAAACCCACUUCUUGCGUCAUUGAUGCAAUAUGAUGUAUGAUGUUAUGCUCAUGCAAAUGAUGUGAUGAUAUGAUGUUAUGCAAAAUGAUAUUUGCCGAAGAUCGACAUUUAUUUUUUACUGCAAGCCUCCCUUAGGAGCUUCUUCGCCUUUUACUUCAGCGGAAUCAGUGUUUAUUUUUCGUUGUAAGCCUCCCUUAGGAGCUUCUUCGCCUUUUACUUUCAGCGGUAUCAGCGUUUAUUUUUCGCUGUAAGCCUCCCUUAGGAGCUUCUUCGCCUUUUACUUUCAGCGGUAUCAGCGUUUAUUUUUCGCUGUAAGCUCUGCAUUCCCUUCGGAACGACUUUUGAGCAGAGAACUUACGCUACGCUCCCUUAGGAACGACUUUUUGUUAGUUCGGAGAUUAUCCUUGUAACCAAAAAUUCUUAUGCUUCGGCAACUCCGCUAUUUUGUGGAGAAGGUAUAUUUUUACUGUGGCGAAAACGAAACUAUUACAAGAAAUCGAAAACGACAAAAAGCACUUAGGAUCUCAAUAAUUGUUCCUUAUUAAAAAGAAAAUGAUACUAAAUGUAAAAACUGCUGCCGAGGUAGGAUAUUUGUUAGUAAAUGUGCUUCGAUUCUGGCACAGUACUAUUGACUGUGCGAGCUUCAAACUCUUCUCUGAAGUCCCGUUGGAGAUGUGUAUGCUGACUCCCUUCUGGCUGCUGGCCUCAUUGCAUUGGUGGUGGAGGUGGAGGCUGUUGCCAAGAUGCCUGAGGUUGGCUUGCCGAAGCGACAGAAGCUGCAGGGUGGUUGCCUACAUACUCUGGAAUGUAAGGCGAAUGGUACGAAGCAGUGUGCAUAACUUGCUUCGGCUGGCUCUGUUGGGUGCAGCUUCUGCUAUCUCCUUUUGUUUCUGGAUGGUAACAUGGCACAUCCUGGUGGUAUGGCACAUCCACAGAAUAGGCAAUAAAUCUUCCUGGGCUGAUCCCCAAAUCUUCCUCUGAAGCCCCUGGCACCUCUGCCCCUUGGAGCUGGAGGCCGAGGAUAGUUCUGCUGCUGCCCCGAAGCCUGGGAGGAAUAUUGCGGCCUCUGUUGCUGGCUUCCCCUGUCAUCGUUCUGAGUAGAAUGAAUCGAUCUGACAUGUCUGGGAUGAAUUCUUCCUCCGAAGCCCCUGGCUAUUUCGGAGAACCUGUAAGCUUCCUCUCUUCUCUGUCUAAAAUCAUUGUCAGCGCGGAUGUAUUCAUCCAUUUUCUGAAGCAGUUUCUCCAGAGUUUGAUGGGGCUUUCUGGCAAAGUAUUGGGCUGAAGGUCCCGGCCGAAGCCCCUUAAUCAUGGCCUCAAUGAUAAUUUCAUUGGGCACUGUUGGCGCUUGUGCCCUUAGGCGUAAGAACCUUCGGACAUACGCCUGAAGAUAUUCCUCGUGAUCUUGGGUGCACUGGAAUAAGGCUUGAGCGGUGACCGGCUUCGUUUGAAACCCUUGGAAACUGGUGACCAGCAUGUCCUUCAGCUUCUGCCAUGAUGUGAUUGUUCCUGGCCGAAGAGAAGAGUACCAGGUUUGUGCAACAUUCUUGACAGCCAUGACGAAAGACUUCGCCAUGACUGCAGUAUUGCCACCAUAGGAAGAUAUCGUUGCUUCGUAACUCAUGAGAAACUGCUUCGGAUCUGAGUGUCCGUCGUACAUGGGGAGUUGAGGUGGCUUGUAGGACGGAGGCCAAGGUGUAGCCUGUAGUUCUGCUGACAGAGGAGAAGCAUCAUCAAAAGCAAAAUUUCCAUGAUGGAAAUCCUCAUACCAGUCAUCCUCAUUGACGAAGCCUUCCUGAUGAAGCUCUCUAUGCUGAGGCCUUCGGUUCUGCUCAUCUUGAGCAAGAUGACGGACUUCUUCAGAGGCUUUGUCUAUCUGCCUUUGCAGGUCAGCUAGCCUAGCCAUCUUUUCCUUCUUUCUUUGUACCUGCUGAUGGAGCAUCUCCAUAUUUCUGAUCUCUUGAUCCAAGUCGUCCUCCUGAGGCGUUGGACUGGUGGCCUUCCUCUUCUGGCUUCGGGCCUCCCGAAGAGAGAGGGUCUCCUGGUUGGGAUCCAGCGGCUGCAGAGUGGCAGCCCCUGUUGCUGAAGCUUUCUUUGGCGGCAUGACGAAGGUCUAUGCUUGCCGAAGGUGUUCAAAAGUCAAAAGUGGAAGUGAGUUCACCAGAGGUGGGCGCCAAUGUUGGGGACUUGUUCUCAAUAGCUUCGAUUUAAGAACAAGGCAACAUAAAAAGUGUUAAAUGUCAAAGUCCUUCGUCCUUCUGAGACAUUAUUUCCUUUCGGAUAUAAUGAAUUCUGGACGAAGGUUGUAAACGAAAAACCUUCGAAAGCACGAUAAACGAUGAGGAAGAAUUCGUAAAUGAAAUACGAAAACUAACAUAAACAGUUAAACAUUAUUAUCAACUUACUUUUUAUUUGCAUCAUCGUAUCAACAAUAGCAAAUUAUAAAUGUACCUUCAAUUUGAAGGAAAGCAAGAGUACAAGCGUGAUGUAAAAGCGAAUGUCCGGUCAGCGUGAACAGUACGGGAGUACUGUUCAUCUAUUUAUAGGCAAGGGACGCAACCCAUGUAAAAUUACAUUCAUGCCCUUUACAAUUGCUAAUAACUCUAUAGUAAUUCUUCAAGGUCUGAUUUGCCUUUUCAUCUUUAAGUUGGUUCCUCUUUUCUGUUGUCAUGCCGAAGCUUUCCUGCGCACAGCUUCGUGAUAACCUUGUCCUUCGUCAUAAUCACCUUUCGUCUCGCUCAUGCUUCGUCCUGACCAUGCUCUGUAUACUCAUGAUCCGAAUCCGAAGAUACCUGUUCACAUAUUUCACUUGGAAAACAUUUUCAAAUCAUGUUUUUGAGGACCUUCGGAAGCCGAAGGCCCCCAACAUCAAGUCUUGUGUGUACUUAGUUUGGGAGAUGAAAGUGUCGUCCUUGAGUUGCUUCACUUGGAACCCAAGGAAGUAGUUCAACUCGCCCAUCAUCGACAUUUCGAACUUUUGAGUCAUCACCUUGCUAAACUCUUCACAAGACUUUUGGUUAGUAGAACCAAAUAUUAUGUCAUCGACAUAAAUUUGGCACACAAAUAAGUCACCAUCACAAGUCUUAGUGAAUAAAGUUGGAUCGGCUUUCCCAACCUUGAAGGCAUUAGCAAUUAAAAAGUCUCUAAGGCAUUCAUAUCAUGCUCUUAGGGCUUGCUUAAGUCCAUAGAGCGCCUUAGAGAGCUUACACACGUGGUCGGGGUACCGUUCAUCCUCAAAGCCAGGGGGUUGCUCUAUGUACACCUCCUCCUUGAUUGGCCCGUUGAGGAAAACGCUCUUCACAUCCAUUUGGAACAACCUGAAAGAAUGGUGAGCGGCAUAGGCUAACAAUAUGCGAAUUGACUCUAGCCUAGCCACAGGAGCAAAAGUCUCCUCAAAGUCCAAACCUGCGACUUGGGCAUAACCUUUUGCCAUAAGUCGUGCCUUGUUCCUUUUCACCACCCCGUGCUCGUCCUGUUUGUUGCGGAACACCCACUUGGUUCCCACAACGUUUUGCUUGGGACAUGGCACCAGUGUCCAAACUUCAUUUCUCUUGAAAUUACUGAGCUCCUCCUGCAUGGCCAACACCCAGUCCGGGUCUAGCAAGGCCUCUUCUACCAUGAAAGGAUGCAUUCUACCCGCAAUGGUUGGCCAUACAAUCGCGAUUCAUAAUGGAAAAGAACAUAUACCUAUUUACAUAACAAAUCCUAUGGUAGGUCGCAAAUUGGGGGAAUUCGUGCCUACUUGGCAUUUCACGAGUUAUGAAAGUACAAGAAAGGAUACUAAAUCUCGUCGUUAAUUGAAUUCAGAAUAGAAAGAUUCAGAAUAAACAAAGAAAUACCCAAUAUCCUGUUGGAACAAGAUAUUGGGUAUUUCCGGCUUUCCUUCCUUCAAAAAUUCCUAUAUGUUUAGGAGAAAAACCUUAUCCAUUAAGGUAAGGAACUUCAAGAGCAGCUAGGUCUAGAGGGAAGUUGUGAGCAUUACGUUCGUGCAUUACCUCCAUACCAAGAUUAGCACGGUUGAUGAUAUCAGCCAAUA